rnacentral:lncRNA from 1 species
GAGGGAGCAACAAGAAAGGUUUCGUGAAGAGCUGCCGCAACAACAAAUGACAUUCCUCCAACAGCAAUCAGAGUACAUGGCUGCUUACAACGCACAGGCGCAACAAACAAUGAACAUAAGUGUCUUAUUUAUUCUCAACACGGUCGAUAUUUGUCCUAUAACUAAUAUAUUGUAUUUGCAACAGUCUUGGUUUCCAGAGCAGGUACAACAACAAUCAUUUGUUUUCCCUCAAUUUCAGUCGUCGAUGCCUCAAUGGGGAUUACAUGCUCCGCCACCUCCACCUCAGGUGCUUCAACUUAGUUAAGACUUGUCGUUUGUAUUAAACUUUUAAAUCUUGACUAAACUUGAUUUUGUAGAGAUCCAGGGUUAUGGGCCACAACACGCCACCACUGGUGAUACCAGCAUCAGGAGGAGCUUAUGCAGGGGAGGGAGCUACUACAGGAGAUGUUAGUUUGACAAACAAUUUAUUUGAAUAUUGGUCAUGUAAACACCAUAGUUAUUAAUGUCUUCUUUUUUAUUUAGAAUCCAAAUCCGUUAUACGACUUCGUCAAUGAGUUUUUCGCUUCUGGAGGUAGUGGUCACAACUCCAACGACCCUGAUAUGUGAUGGUUUGAGUUUUGUGCCGAAUUAUGCGUUGUAAUGGACUAUUUGUGAACUUUAUGUUGUAUGGACUACUUGUGAACUGUGAUGUUGUAAUGGACUCCAACUUUAUGUUGUGGACUAUUUAUGAAUUGUGCAAUUGUGGAUUUAAUGUUUCUGUCAUUUUAUUGUGAUUAUAUUGUUGAUGAAUUUGCUGUUUUUUGCAUUUUUUUCAAAAAACAAUUUCUCUGAAAUUAUUAAUUUUCGACGGCCUCAGUGCCGAAAAUAAGCCUGGGAUAUUUUCGGCAUCCCUUGUUUUCGGCGGCGAUGUCAGGCCGCCGAAAAUUAAUGCUUAUUUUCGGCGGCCAACAGAGCAGCCGCCGAAAAUAAGCGCUAAUUUUUGGUUGAUUUUUUCUGGCGGCCAGAGACCACCGAAAAUAGGCCUAAAGCCGCCGAAAAUGACUGUAUGUGCUGCUGUGAAGGGCCGCUGAAGGUUUUUUGAAACUUAAAGUGGUAUGGUAGUCUCACACGUUCAAAUUUCUUCCCUUCAUCCUUUUUCGUCGGCAUUCCCCACCCACCUAAUGUGGGAAAAGUUUUGUUGGCCAAGUAUUCUCGCACUAAGUCUCGAAUACUGAUGUGCUCGACCACAACUUUGAACUCUACUUUGGCUAGUUGGCAUGGGGAGACGAGUUGCGUGUUGCACAAUGGCCUUGUCAUGCCGAAGCUUAAUUUCAUGGGACUCAUCGCCAUGCUCAUAAGCUUCUCUCUUCUCUUCUCGUCACCUUUCACAUAAAACCACUCGUUUGUCCAGCCAGUAGGCCACUUGGUACGGUACGCAAUCACAGGAGCCUUCGUAUCUUUUCGAUAUGCAAAAUUAUAGCAUCCGAAGUUUUUGUGCAGACCAUCUGCUCUUGUCUUGGUCUGGUAGUGGAGUUCAUGGACUCUGCAGAAUCCUUCUGCAUUGGCACUAUUUCCUUUGUUUCGGAGAGCCCAUAUGUAGACACUGAGCCUAACUAUAGCGUUUGGUGUCAGCUGAUGAAGAUAUAUCUCAAAUCUUUUUAAUACUUCGCCAAUCAUCUCGUACAAUAGGAAUUGAAGCCCAACACAGAAGAAGCUCUUAAAAACCACCACCUCAUCAUCCUUUGGCUCUAGAAUUAUCUCUUCACCCGCGAACCUUAUCAAGUUAUCAUCAUUCUUUCUGAAAUAACCAAGUUUCUUCAUUAAAACUAAGUCCUCAGGUUUCACGGUGGAUCUGCCAAACUCGAUAUGGCUAGGCUUGCUUCGACUCAGUAUGCCAUCAUCUUCUUUGUCAUCACUUCCAGCUUCGGCAAUAACAUUUUCAGUUUCGGCAUUAGGGUUAUCCUUCUCGUAAAAAGCUUCUCCUUCCUCUUGUAUAAUCAACACAGAGCGUCUCAUGACUUCUGAAAUUGGAGUUGUUUCAGCGUCCUCAGUCUCCCCACCCUCACUUGUCAGUCUUGCAGUAGAUCUGAUUCUAGCAAUUUCAGUCCUUAAGAUGAAGCUAACUUUCAAAUGACUUGACGAUUGUUCGAAGACUAGUCAGCAAGUGCAUAGAGCGCAAAAAACUUCAGCUUCAGUAAAAAAAUUCAGCAGCACAAUGAUGCAAUAGCAAUGAAUGAUGUGGUAACUUCUUACCAACUCAUCUAUUUAUAUAUUCCUACAGAUGAAGAAGGCGAGCUGCUACACCGCCCAUACUGACUGAUUAGUGGACUGGCAAAGGUCGUAACUUUUUAUUCGUUUUUAAUAAUAGCUCAGGGAAGGUGUUUUUCGGACCUUCGGCAUUGAGAAGCCUUCGUAUGUUUCCCGGAUCGAGCUCGUUAUGAAAAAACGACCUAGCACCGCGAAUGGACUACUGUUGGGGUCUCCUUCUCUGUCGAAGGUCCUCAGAGCGAAGGAAUUGUUUGCAUCCAAAGGGACUGAGUGCCGAAGCUGCAACAGGAUUGCACAAAAUGUUGAGGGUUUAAAGCUUUAGCUCAAGAUGGUUACGAAGAUCAGACAUGGCGUUGAGUUAGCAAGGAAAAGACUCGUUUAUCCUUGGUAUUUGUAUUAGAGAAGUGUGUAAAUAUCAGGGUCAUAAAUGUACUUUUGCUUGGGCUGCGUCCCUUGCCUAUAAAUAGGUGAACAGUAUCCCCGUACUGUUCACACUGAUUAGAGAAAUUAUAUUCGCCCUUUCACCUUCGAGCAAGCCAAAGAUACAAAUGUAAUAUACAUUUUGUGACAUUCUAUUAAUAUUUAAUAUGAGUUAUAAACUUGUUCUGACAUGUGAAAUAAUAUUAAUAGUUAAUAUAAUAUUACAUGGUAGUGUUGUAUCUAUGAAUUAAGAAGGCUUGUUAUUCUUGACCUUCAUCCAAGAUUCAUUAUCACUAGAAGAGGAUAAUGCUUCGGAGGACGAAGGUCCUUAACGUUUAACGAUUGGGUUUCCUUGUUUUUGGUCACAACUAUCAAAAACAAGUGACCAACACUAUCCACCGUCGAGGCUGAGUACGUUGCCGCAAAUUAGUGUUGCGCGAAAUUACUAUAGAUGAGGCAAACUCUAUAUGACGUUGGCUACAAUCUGAGCAAAGUCCCACUCCUAUGUGAUAAUGAGAGUGCAAUUCGCUUGGUAGAUAAUCCCGUUGAACACGGCCACACUAAGCACAUAGACAUUCAGUAUCACUUUCUAGGAGAUCACCAGCAAAAGGGAUAUAUCGAUGUUUGCCAUGUUAGCAUCGAUUACCAGCUAGCCGAUAUCUUUAGCAAGCCUUUAGAUGAGAAAAGGUUUUGUAAGCUACGUAGUGAGCUAGAUUUCUUAGAUUCGUGGAAUUUGGAUUGAUCUAUAUCAUAUACGUCUUUUAUGUUUUGGGCAUAUCAUUUUAAGUUUAAUUAUGCAUUUUGGUGUUCAAGUUGUAAAAUAUCAUCCAUGGACCUCACAAGUCCUUGUGCAAAUGAUGCAUAUGUUUAGGGGGAGGAUAUGCUACAACUUGAUCCUUUGAGACUAAUAUGUUUGCUUAAGUGAUUUUGGUGUAGUCUGGAAGGUGAAUGGAAAGGAAAAUGGUGAACUUGAACAACAAACAAGGCUUCCACUGCAUAACAGUAUCAUGUUCAAGUUGCCCUUGGUGUUCUAUGUCUUCUUGCUCUUAAUUGGCAAAUUUCGGUGAGGCAAUGAGGUUUAAAGGACACUAGUUUCUCCGUUUUGGAGCUUAAUGCCACAUGGGGAGAAAUUAAGGCCAAAGCAACUAGAUCAACCACCACUUGUGAAUUUCAAAAAAAUAUUAUUGUAUUAAUAACUGUCUUUUGAUCAAAACUCUCUUAUUGCAAAUCUACUCUCUUGAGGGGAAGAAAUCUUUUUUCUAGAAAAGGGGAGUUUCUGUUUUUGAUCAAAACUAGUCUUGAGAAAUGGUUUGAUUUGCUAAAACAAAGUGUUUUUGUCAUAGAAGUAAGAAAAUGAAUUUUCUUUGUGAAAAUAAACCAAGUGGUGGCAAAAUGAUCCAAAUAUGACAAAUCCUAUAAUUAUCCUAUUAGUGUUUGAUUUGACUUCAAUUUGCAAAAGUUGGCUCAUAUUGGAUUGUGUUAGUGCCUCUUUAAGUUGUUUUUGGUGUGUUGGCAUAAAUCGCCAAAAAGGGGGAGAUUGAAAGGGAAAUGUGACCUUGGGCCAUUUCCAGUUGUUUUGGUGAUUAGAUGCUCAACACACUGCUACUGACUAACAACUCCACAUAUGAGCAUGAGCAUAGGUACUCGAAAGGCAAAUUGAGAAAUAUAGAAGUAUAUUGCAAAUCCUAUUACAUUAAAGGAACAAAGGUAUGAUUCUAACACUUAGUAAAUUGUUUUAGUUGCUAACAAUGUUCAUCUAAGUGCUAGGAAACCUCUCAAUUUGAACCAUUUUGGAGAGAUGGUGUUUGGCUAAGUUUGGCCAAACUUGUGCCAGUCUGGGGAGCAUCGGACUCUCCGGUGUGCACCGAACAGUGUCGAUUGCCCAGCCUGUCAGCCGGUGAACAAGUUGAAAGUCGCCUAAAGGGGGGUGAAUAGGCAAAUCUGAAAUUUAUAAACUUUAAGCACAACUACAAGCCGGGUUAGCGAUAGAAAUAUAACCGAGUCCGAAAGAGAGGGCGAAAACAAAUCACAAGCAAAUGAAGCGGAUGACACGGUGAUUUGUUUUACCGAGGUUCGGUUCUCGUAAACCUACUCCCCGUUGAGGUGGUCACAAAGACCGGGUCUCUUUCAACCCUUUCUGUAACACCCCACUGAUAACCACACAAUGGAUGUUACCAAAAACCCUUCCUACAAAACUUAUGCAACACAUAGAGAAAGAAAGUAUUGCAAAAUUCGGCAACACCUCCCUUGAAAGUAGCAUAACAAGGAAAACAUUGAGUUUAUACAGGAUAUAAAAGAAAGAUAUUUGACAUAGUAUAAUCGAAAUGCAACGGUAGAAAUGAACAUUCAUGACCACACAAAAGAUAGACAACUCAGCCCACCAAACUAAACAGUUCAACUACCAUGAAAGAUUAGAAUGUAAUAAUCCCCUAGACUUGACCCUCCCUGUUUAACAUCAUUAUUAAGCAGUGGUUCCUUUAUUCAAAAGUGUGGUGGUCAUGCUGCUACAUCCCUUCUUUCCCAAAGCAAAGAUCAGGUGCCUGCAUCAGAUAAUACAAGAGUGAGAUGACACAUCUCAGCAAGUAAAAAACAACAGUUGGACAAUGUAAGCCAACCGUGCAUAAGCAACCACGUGGUUCCCAACUUCUUUCUUAAAUAUUAAUUUGCAGCAAGUAAGAAAGUAAUCAAUUACUCAAUGCCAAGAUGAAUCACAAAGUAAAGAUCCACAUUAUCCACAUCACCAUAAUAGGUUCCACACUUCCCCCAUGAAUGCACAUGGCUACAGAUGCAGUAUGACUUCUGCCUUCAUACCUCUAAGGAUAUGAAGCUGCAUCAUACCCCUUCUCGGGCAACAUAUGAUGCUCAUUGUACCGGUAUGGUCGACCAUAAUAUCGUGACGAAACUUCAAUGCAAUGGAUUAUGAAUGCAUUAUGCAUGUCAACAACAUGAGUUCUUCCCAAACAAAAUGUGCUAGACAUAUACUUCCACCCAUUUCACAUAAUAAACCACAUGGGUAACAUGAUCAAACCACACCCUCCACAUGUAUAAUCAAUAAAAGAUGAAUAAUUUCAAACGACGGUACCCAAUUAGGAAUAUGAAUACGAACACAAAUAGCACAAACAUAAUCAAGUAUAAGACUCUUCAAUCAACAGACGGAAUAACCAUCACUGUUUUACUUGCCUUCACCGGAAGUUUGGGCAAAUCCCUAAGUACGAUCCGGAAGUCCACCACAUGUUUUUGACACACAACUUAGUGCACCAAUUACACACAAUCAGGCUCAUAAACGACGUCGCACCUACGCACAAUCUCAAACCCCGCCGCGGGUAACAUCUCUCCCCACACCCACCAAACUGCAGCGACGCUACUUAAUAAUUUCAUAACUUUAAAAUUAUGAUAGCAGUGGUAACAAACAAAAACUCCAGAGGCAUCUACAUAAAAUUCCGCACAAGUUUUGUAUACAAUUUAUACUUAAAUUCCAAUAUCUAAUUAGCCCAAAACAGUUUACAAGAUAAACCAUGUAAUCUGUUUUUUUCUCUUUUGGACAGCGACAUACCCGGAUUCAAACAGCAAUAUCUUUUAAAAUAUAAUUCCAAACCAAGCACAUAAGUACUCAUUGGAAAGAUAAGACAAAGCCAUACAUGAUUAUCAUACUGGGUAUCACUAAUUACCCACGAAAAAUUCCUAGAAACUGCUAAUAUUACUGUUGUUCACCCACCUGAAAAAUCUGUUUUUUGGACAGCAACAUACCCGGAUUCAAACAACGAUAUCUCCUAAAUUAUAACUCCGAAUCGAGCGCAUAAGUACUCGUUGGAAAGGUAUGACAAAGCUCUACAUUAUUAUCCCACUUAUUCCCACUAAUUAACCCACGAAAAUGCCCGGAAAUCCCUAGAACUACUGAUGUCCACCCACUCACAAAAUUCCUGGACAGCACCUCUACCGAUUCGCAAAGAUAAACGCAUAAUCCAAUUGAUUGCAGCACAAAAACAACAAAAGUUAAACACAAAUUCACCUUGGGUUCUUCCCUUCCUCCUUCCUUCUUCCUCCCUCCAAACUCCAAUUGAGAUCGCAGCCACACGACGGAGAACCACGCGGGAGGGCUGCACCUUGGAGGGGGAAGAGAAAUGGGGGGCGGCUAGGGUUUUGGGUGGUGAGGGCUGCAAAGGUUUGAGGAGGAAGAAGAUGGAAGAGGGGGGUGGCGUCCAAGAGAAAGGGGAGGGGAAGGGGGUGGCUGCAAAAUCCCAAGGGGAAAAGGGGGGCGGCUAGGGUUAGGGGAGACUAAUGGGCCGGAUCAAGGUUCAAGGACCAACUCGCCCACGUGACAGCUCCCGACCCCGUCGCAAUCAACUAACCAAAGAAAUUCUACUGUCUUAAAGGUGAAUGUUUUCCACAAAUUCCAAAUUCCCAAAGCGCAUCACCCGAAUGGAAAAAGAACAAAAAGAAUAACCUCCACUUCUCUUUGCAAACCGGGUAUCACACUCUACCCCCCUUAAAAAGAAUUCGACCUCGAAUUCUGACGCUUCUAUCGGAACGACAAAAGGGAAAAAUUAAUGAAUCAACAACACUUAACCACAACAAAAAGUUCUGGAUAUUUCUGCCGCAUCAGCUCCUCAAGUUCUCAUGUAGCCUCGCACUCAAACUGAUUAGUCCAUAAGACCUUGACAUACUUAAUUGAUCUCUUCCUCAAAAUGCGCUCCGAGGAUUCCAAGAUACACACCGGACGACACUCCAAGGUCAGAUCCUGCCGCACCGCAAUUGGUUCCAUCUCAAUCUGAUGGUCCGGAUCCCGCAAGAACUUCCUCAGCAUAGAGACAUGAAAAACUGGGUGUACCCCUGCCAUGGAAUCCGGCAAUUGCAAGCGAUAAGCCAAGCUGCCCACCCGGGCCAAGAUAGUAAACGAUCCAAUAUAUCACGGGCUAAGCUUUCCGGAGACACCGAACCAAACAACUCCUUUAGUGGGUGAUACCCUGAGAAGGACUUGGCCACCCACUGCAAACUCCAAAUCCUGCCUCCUCACAUCAGCAUAACUCUUCUGACGGCUCUGAGCGGCCAAAAUAUUCUGACGAAUUUCCCGAACCUUUUUAGAAGUCUGCUGAACCCAAUCAGGACCAACCAGGGAUCUCUCUCCCAAGGUCUCCCAGCAUAGAGGGGAGAUACACCACCUGCCAUACAAAGCCUCAAAUGGUGCCAUCUUGAUGCUAGCCUGGUAGCUGUUGUUAUAAGCAAACUCUGCCAAUGCAAGAUGAUCUUCCGAGCUACCCUUCCAAGACAGAACACAAGCACGCAACAUAUCUUCCAAGGUUUGGAUCGUUCGCUCCGACUGACCAUCAGUCUGAGGAUGUAAAGCGACACUAACAGAAAGCUUGGUGUCCAAUGCACUGUGAAGACUCUCCCAGAAUUUGGAUACAAAUUUGGAGUCUCGAUCAGAAACAAUGGACUUAGGUACCCCGUGAAGCCUGAUUACUUCCUUCAUAUACAAGGGGACCAAUUCUGAAGCUGAAUUGGUGGUCUUCAUGGGAAUAAAGUGCGCUGACUUAGUCAAGCGAUCCACUACCACCCAAAUAGCAUCUCUGCUCCGAGGAGAACGAGGUAAGCCCACCACAAAAUCCAUGGUGAUAUGCUCCCACUUCCACUCCGGAAUCUCCAAUGGCUUCAGCAAACCUGCAGACCUCUUAUGCUCGGCCUUCACGCGCUUACAUACUUCACAGGAGGCCACGUACUUAGAAACGUCAACCUUCAUCCGCUUCACCAGAAGUUUUGCUUCAGAUCUCGGUACAUUUUGGUUUCACCAGGGUGAACGGUGUAAGGCGUUUUAUGAGCUUCUCUCAAUAUAUCCAUCUUCACCUCUGAUUUCUGAGGCACACAAAGGUGACCCCUGAAACGAACCAAAUCAUUUUCAUCAAUGGAGAACUCCCGAGGUUUACCAUCGCCAACCCUCUUUUGAGCUUCCUGCAAUAAACGAUCCUGCUGCUGAGCCGCACGCACUCUCUCCAUGAGAGAAGAUUGAAUAAGCAUACGAGUCUCCUCACUAGCGGUGCCGACAUAGCACAAAGCGAUCCCCAAACGGUCCAGAUCAGCAAUCAACUGCAAGGCCACUUUUGGAACCCCGGACCUGCUAAGGGCAUCAGCCACCACAUUUGCCUUCCCCGGGUGAUAAUGAAUAGACAAAUCAUAAUCUUUAAUCAAUUUGAGCCACCGACGCUACCUCAAAUUCAGAUCCUUCUGAGUGAAAAUAUACUUGAGACUUUUAUGAUCGGUGUAAAUGUCACAAGCCUUGCCAUAAAGAUAAUGCCUCCACGACUUUAGAGCAAAAACCAUCAUGGCCAAUUCGAGAUCAUGAGUUGGAUAAUUCCCCUCAUGCUUCCUCAACUGCCUUGAGCCAUAAGCAAUCACUCUGCCUUCCUGCAUCAACACACAGCCAAGUCCAAUUCGCUUAGCAUCCGUAUAAACUGUGAAAUGCUUACCGCUCUCAGGCAAAGCUAGGAUAGGGGCGUCCACCAACUUGCUCUUCAAUGUCUGAUAACUGACCUCGCAAUCGCUGGACCAGACGAAGAGAACACCCUUCUCCAAAAGUCUAGUCAAAGGCUUAGCAAUGCUGGAAAAAUUAGGUACGAAGCGCCGAUAAUAUCCAGCGAGCCCCAAGAAACUUCGAAUUUUAGAGACACUAGAGGGUCUCUUCCACUCCACCACAGCCGCAACAUUCUUGGGAUCAACCGCAAUGCCCUGCUGAUUAAUCACAUGCCCCAGGAAAGCCACUUCGGACAGCCAAAAUGCACACUUCUUCAACUUGCCAUAGAACUGAUUCUCCCUUAAGGCACCCAGAACGAGACGGAGAUGCUGCUCAUGCUCAGCCUCGGUCUUAGAAUAAAUCAAAAUGUCAUCCAGGAACACGACCACAAAGUCAUCCAAGAACUCAUGCAACAUCCUAUUCAUUGCUUCCAUAAAAGCAGCAGGAGCAUUAGUUAAGCCAAAAGACAUGACUAUGAACUCAUAAUGCCCAUACCUAGUGCAAAAAGCGGUCUUCUCAAUAUCCUCCUCACGAAUCCUCAAUUGAUGAUAACCAGAGUUCAAAUCAAUUUUGGAGAACACCUGGGCACCCCUCAACUGUUCAAAGAGAACCUCAAUACGGGGAAGCGAAUAUUUAUUCUUGAUUGUCACUUGAUUCAAAGCGCGAUAAUCCACACAUAGCCGCUUGCUUUUAUCCUUCUUCUCAACAAACAAUACUAGGGAAGCCCAUGGAGACCUACUAGGCCUAAUGAAACCCUUAGCCAGCAGAUCAUCCAAUUGCCGCUUCAAUUCAACCUGCUCCUUUGGGGUCAUUCGAUACGGGGCCUUAUGAAUGGGCUGCGUACCCGGAAUCAGCUUAAUCUCAAAAGCUGCAUCACGCUCUGGAGGAAUGCCUGGAAGCUUUGCCGGAAACACGUCAGCAAAGUCACACACCACCCGGAUGUCUUGCAUCCGCAAGGUAGCCUCACCCUCCACCACCAUGGAGAAAAAGAUUCCCGACUUCCUUAACCGGCGAUCCGGAAGCAAUUGCGCCAACAAGGAUAAUGUGAACUUAGGGGAACUUCCCAAGAAUACCACCUCCCUACCCGACGGUGCCUGCAAUAACACUGUCUUCCAAAAACAGGAUAUAACUGCGCGAUACUGGGAUAACCAAUCCAUAUCCAAGAUAACAUUGAAUGCCCCUAAGGAAAUCACAACCAGAUUGGCCGAAAAGACCUCAUCAGCAAGAAUGAUGGAACACCCCUGACAAACUGAACAACUACUAAUGGAGCCAUUAGCAGAACUAACCAAACUCCGUGACCCAACCUCUGCACCGAAAGACUAGCCCGCGACACAAAGUCCUCCGAAACAAACGAAUAGCUAGCGCUAGAGUCAAAAAGAGCAUGGGCCACAAACGAAUCAACUGAAAUCGUACCUGCCACCAUGUCUCCUUGCUCUCUGCCAUCCGCAGCGGGUAGCACAUAAGCUCCGGAAAUACCCGCAGAAGAGGAAGCUCCAGAGUGAAAUUAACAGAAGAACCCCACUGAGCCGCCGGGUGAGGCAGACGCGGAGCUCCAAACUGAGAUGGCAUAGGGGUAGUCGGUGCAGGAGUAGGAGCAACCAGAUACUAAGGAAAACCCUGCACCGGCACGAACUGAGAAGUCCCAGGCACAUAAAACUGUUGUGGAGGAAGUGGAACUGAAAAUUGCUGCUCAGCGCUUGACAUCAUGUUGACAGUGCCCUUAGAAGAGGAGGAAGUCACUGGCUCCCAUCUGAGCUUCCCAUUGGGAUUCCUCCUACACACCACAUCCUUGUGGUCUUGACUGCAGAUUGAACAUCUGUCGUUCCACUGGCACUCUGCACGGUGAUGCACAUCACUACAACGGAAACACACCAGCCCCAACCCGGGCUUAGGAAUAGCCCAAAACCUCUGAGUACUUCCUCCUGAAGUACCCGAGUCAGAGGAUUUGCCACGAUAGGGAUGGCGGCGCUGAUGCUGAGACUUGCCCCUCUUGUGGGCUGGACCUCUAGUGUUGCCCCUCCUCGCGUCCUGGCCACGAGGCUGAUCAACCCCCGAAGACUUCUGUGACUCCAUGGUAUACUGGUGUUGCAUCACCACACCCAGUGCCUGCUCCACUGUAGUACGGAAGUCCACCAACGGAAAGGCUCCCAGGGCAUGCCUGAUGGAAGGUUUCAGGCCCUGACGGAACUGGCUCGCCUUCUCCAUCUCAUUAUAAGCCACAUGAGGGACAAAGCAGACCAUCUUCUCCUGCUUGUAGGACUGCAAAUCAAUCUUCAUUUUCUCCAGGAAGGUGACCGGGUAGAAUCUCCUUUCAAACUGCCUGAUGAAGACAUCCCAAGACAGGACUCCUGGUGAGGAGGAGUGCGCUGCCUGCACGCCUCUCCACCAAAUUUGAGCCUCUCCCUUCAGCAGCUGUGUGCCAAAGCGAACUUGAUCUCCAUACAUAAUCUCAAAGACAUUCAUCUUAUCCUCCAUGUAAGUUAGCCAAUCUGUCGCCUCGACCGGAGUACCACUGCCAUCAAAAGAAUCCAACUUCAUGCCCAUCCACUGCAUCAGAGAAAGACCACUGACUGGAAGAGGCACCUCGACCCCGCCACCUGGAGCAGCACCCGUGGGAACAGCGCCCCCGGGCACUCCUCCACCACCAGCACCCUGAGAAGCACCCACAGGGGCAACAGGAAUAGCUUGCCUCAGAAUGGCCAACUCCUACUGCAUGGCCUGCAUCGCGGCUAACAUUGCUGUCGGACUCAUCGAGUCCCCACUAGGAACUUGUGGACUACCCCGAGCCCUACGAGGCGGUAUAGCUGCAGCCACAGGGAUGAGAAUAAUAAGUAAAUAAGAUGGGCAAAACAUCUCUUCAGAUAAUGUCAAACUAGCUCAGACAAUAACAAAACAUAUCAAUAGUAAAGCGGAAAACCCAUCCUACAUGUGCAGUGUCAAUUUAUUAUUACUCCACUUGCUAGGACCUACAGCCUAUUCCUCUGAUACCAACUGUAACACCCCACUGAUCCCACACAAUGGAUGUUACCAAAAAACCCUUCCUAUAAAACUUAUGCAACACAUAGAGAAAGAAAGUAUUGCAAAAUCCGGCAACACCUCCCUUGAAAGUAGCAUAACAAGGAAAACAUUGAGUUUAUACAGGACAUAAAAGAAAGAUAAUUGACAUAGUAUAAUCGAAUUGCAACGGUAGAAAUAAACAUUCAUGACCAGACAAAAGAUAUACAACUCAGCCCACCAAACUAAACAGUUCAACUACCAUGAAAGAUUAGAAUGUAAUAAUCCCCUAGACUUGACCCUCCCUGUAUAACAUCAUUAUUCAGCAGUGGUUCCUUUAUUUAAAAGUGUGGUGGCCAUGCUGCUACAUCCCUUCUUUCCCAAAGCAAAGAUCAAGUGCCUGCAUCAGAUAAUACAAGAGUGAGAUGACACAUCUCAGCAAGUAAAAAAACAACAGUUGGACAAUGUAAGCCAACCGUGCAUAAGCAACCACGUGGUUCUCAACUUCUUUCUUAAAUAUUAAUUUGCAGCAAGUAAGCAAGUAAUCAAUUACUCAAUGCCAAGAUGAAUCACAAAGUAAAGAUCCACAUUAUCCACAUCACCAUAAUAGAUUCCACACUUCCCCCAUGAAUGCACAUGGCUAUAGAUGCAGUAUGACUUCUGCCUUCAUACCUCUAAGGAUAUGAAGCUGCAUCAUACCCCUUCUCGGGCAACAUACGAUGCUCAUUGUACCGAUACGGUCAGACCAUAAGAUCGCGACGAAACUUCAAUGCAAUGGAUGAUGAAUGCAUUAUGCAUGUCAACAACAUGAGUUCUUUCCAAACAAAAUGUGCUAGACAUAUACUUCCACCCAUUUCACAUAAUAAACCACAUGGGUAACAUGAUCAAACCACACCCUCCACAUGUAUAAUCAAUAAAAGAUGAAUAAUUUCAAACGACGGUACCCAAUUAGGAAUAUGAAUACGAACACAAAUAGCACAAACAUAAUCAAGUAUAAGACUCUUCAAUCAACAGACGGAAUAACCAUCACUGUUUUACUUGCCUUCACCGGAAGUUUGGGCAAAUCCGUAAGUACGAUCCGGAAGUCCACCACCUGUUUUUGACACACAACUUAGUGCACCAAUUACACACAAUCAGGCUCAUAAACGACGUCGCACCUACGCACAAUCUCAAACCCCGCCGCGGGUAACAUCUCUCCCCACACCCACCAAACUGCAGCGACGCUACUUAAUAAUUUCAUAACUUUAAAAUUAUGACAGCAGUGGUAACAAACAAAAACUCCAGAGGCAUCUACAUAAAAUUCCCCACAAGUUUGGUAUACAAUUUAUAAUUAAAUUCUAACAUCUAAUUAUCCCAAAACAGUCCACAAGAUAAACCCUGUAAUCUGUUUUUUUUUCUCUUUUGGACAGCGACAUACCUGGAUUCAAACAGCGAUAUCUUUUAAAAUAUAAUUCCAAAUCAAACGCAUAAGUACUCAUUGGAAAGAUAAGGCAAAGCCCUACAUGAUUAUCAUACUGGUUAUCACUAAUUACCCACGAAAAAUUCUCAGAAACUGCUAAUACUACUGCUAUUCACCCACCUGAAAAAUCUAUUUUUUGGACAACAACUUACCCGGAUUCAAACAACGAUAUCUCCUAAAUUAUAACUCUGAAUCGAGCGCAUAAGUACUCGUUGGAAAGGUAUGACAAAGCUCUACAUGAUUAUUCCACUGAUUCCCACUAAUUAACCCACGAAAAUUCCCAGAAAUCCCUAGAACUACUGCUGUCCACCCACUCACAAAAUUCCUGGACAGCACCUCUACCGAUUCGCAAAGAUAAAUGCAUAAUCCAAUUGAUUGCAGCACAAAAACAACAAAAGCUAAACACAAAUUCGCCUUGGGUUCUUCCCUUCCUCCUUCCUUCUUCCUCCCUCCAAACUCCAAUUGAGAUCAUAGCCACACGACGGAGAACCACGCGGGAGGGCUGCACCUUGGAGGGGGGAAGAGAAAUGGGGGGGGGGGGCUAGGGUUUUGGGUGGUGAGGGCUGCAAAGGUUUAAGGAGGAAGACAUGGGAGAGGGGGUGGUGUCCAAGAGAAAGGUCAGGGGAAGGGGGCGGCUGCAAAAUCCCAAGGGGAAAAGGAGGGGGCUAGGGUUAGGGGAGACUAAUGGGCCGGAUCAAGGUUCAAGGCCCAUCUCGCCCACGUGACAGCUCCCGACCCCGUCGCAAUCAACUAACCUAAGAAAUUCUACUGUCUUACAGGUGAAUGUUUUCCACAAAUUCCAAAUUCCCAAAGCGCAUCACCCGAACGGAAAAAGAACAAAAAGAACAACCUCCACUUCUCCUCUUUGCAAACCGGGUAUCACACUUUCCCUCUCUCAAACGGUCACCUAGACCGAGUGAGCUUUUCUCCUCAAUCAAAUGGGUCACUUAGACCCCGCAAGGACCACCACACAAUUGGUGUCUCUUGCUUUGAUUACAAGUUGCUUGAGAACAAGAAUGGUAAAGAAGAAAAGCGAUCCAAGCGACAAGAACUCAAAUGAACAUGAAAAUCUCUCUCUCACUAGUCACUAAGUGUUUGGAGUGAUUUUGGACUUUGGAGAGGGUUUGAUCUCUUGUUUGUGUCUUGGAGUGAAGUCUAGAGCUCUUGUAUUGAAUGCAAAUAUCUGAAAACUUGGAUGUCUUGAAUGGUGGUGGUCGGGGGUAUUUAUAGCCCCAACCACCAAACCAACCGUUGGGGUUGGGCUGCUGUCGAUGGGUGCGCCGGACACUGUCCGGUGCGCUAGCCAUGUCACCCAACCGUUAGGGUUCUGACGGUUUCGACUGUUGGAGCUCUGACAUUUUGGUGCACCGGACAGUCUGGUGCCGCACCGGACAGGUACUGUUCACUGUCCGGUGCGCCUCUGGCGCCUGUUCUGACUUCUGCCGUGAACUGUAGCUCUGUCAGGGCACUAUGCAGUCGACCGUUGCGCUGAUAGCCGUUGCUCCGCUUGGUGCACCAGACAGUCCAGUGGCACACCAGACAGUUCGGUAAAUUAUAGCGGAGUGUGCCUGGUGAAACCCGAAGGUGAAGAGUUUGAGGUCGAUUCUCCCUGGUGCACUGGACACAGUCCGGUGCGCCAGACCUGGGUUCUCUUUGGUUUCUUUUGUUGCUUUCUUUUGAAUCCUAACUCGGAUCUUUCUAUUGGUUUGUGUUGAACCUUUGGCACCUAUAGAACUUAAAUUCUAGAGCAAACUAGUUAGUCCAAUUAUUUGUGUUGGGCAAUUCAACCACCAAAAUCAUUUAGGAAAAGGUUUGACCCUAUUUCCCUUUCAAUCUCCCCCUUUUUGGUGAUUGAUGCCAACACAAACCAAAGAAAGUAUAUAAGUACAUAAUUGAACUAGUUUGCAUAAGAUAAGUGCAAAGGUUGCUUAGAAUUAAACCAAAUUAUACUUUCAUAAGAUAUGCAUGGAUUGCUUUCUUUCUUUUAAUAUUUUGGACCACGUUUGCACCACUUGUUUUGUUUUUGCAAAUCUUUCUGGAAAUUCUUUUUCAAAGUCUUUUUGCAAAUAGUCAAAGGUAUAUGAAUAAGAUUUCGAGAAGCAUUUUCAAGAUUUGAAAUUUCUCCCCCUGUUUCAAAUGCUUUUCCUUUGACUAAACAAAACUCCCCCUUAAUGAAAUUCUCCUCUUAGUGUUCAAGAGGGNNNNNNNNNNNNNNNNNNNNNNNNNNNNNNNNNNNNNNNNNNNNNNNNNNNNNNNNNNNNNNNNNNNNNNNNNNNNNNNNNNNNNNNNNNNNNNNNNNNNACGACAACGACUACAGGAAGACGGUCAAUUCAAACUUUUCAUUUGAUUAUUCUCGUAUUCCACAUAGUUCGAAUUCGCAAUUGCUUUCCAUUCCUCUUGGCAAACCUCCACACUUUGAUGGGGAGGACUACGGAUUUUGGAGUCACAAAAUGCGUAGUCAUUUAUUCUCUCUCCAUCCAAGCAUAUGGGAGAUCGUAGAGAAUGGAAUGAAAUUUGAUAGCUCGGAUAGCCCUAUGUUUAUUAAUGAACAAAUUCACAAAAAUGCACAAGCUACUACUGUGUUGCUAGCCUCUUUGUGCAGGGACGAGUACAAUAAGGUGAGCGGCUUGGACAAUGCCAAGCAAAUAUGGGACACCCUCAAGAUUUCUCACGAGGGGAACGACAUCACCAUGCUCACUAAAAUGGAAUUGGUAGAGGGCGAGCUUGGAAGGUUUGCAAUGAUAAGGGGCGAGGAGCCAACCCAAACAUACAACCGGCUCAAGACCCUUAUCAACAAAAUAAGGAGUUAUGGAAGCACGCGAUGGACGGACCAUGACGUCGUCCGACUAUUACUAAGGUCCUUUACCAUUCUUGAUCCUCAUUUGGUGAAUAAUAUUCGUGAGAAUCCCAGGUACACCAAAAUGUCGCCCGAAGAAGUCCUAGGAAAAUUCGUCAGCGGGCGAAUGAUGAUUAAGGAAGCAAGGUACGUGGACGACGCCUUGAAUGGACCAAUCAACGAGCCGCAACCUCUUGCUCUCAAAGCAACAAGAAGCAAGGAGGCGCUACCUAGCAAGGUGGCACAAAUUGAGGCGGCCGGACUUAAUGAUGAAGAGAUGGCUCUCAUCAUCAAACGCUUCAAGACGGUGCUAAGAGGUCACAAGGGGCAGCCAAGCAAGACCAAGACAAAGGGGAAGCGCUCAUGCUUCAAGUGCGGUAAGAUUGGUCAUUUUAUCGCUAACUGCCCCGAUAACGAUAGUGACCAGGAACAGGGGAACAAGAGGGAAAAGAAGAAGCAUUACAAGAAGGCAAAGGGCGAGGCGCAUCUAGGCAAGGAGUGGGACUCGGAUUGCUCCUCUUCCGACUCCGACAAUGAAGGACUCGCCGCCACCGCCUUCAACAAAUCAACCCUCUUCCCCAACGAGCGUCACACAUGCCUUAUGGCAAGGGAGAAGAAGGUAUGUACUCGCGACUCUACCUAUGCUUCUUCAAGUGAGGACGAAUCUAGUGAUGAGGAUGAAGUAGAUUAUUCAUGUUUGUUCAAGGGCUUAGAUAGAUCUAAGAUAGACAAAAUUAAUGAAUUAAUUGAUGCCUUGAAUGAAAAGAAUAUACUUUUAGAAAAGCAAGAGGAUUUGUUGUAUGAAGAACAUGAUAAGUUUGUAGAGGCUCAAAAAUCCCUUGCAUUAGAAAUUAAGAGGAAUGAAAUGCUUGCUUGUGAAGUGUCAACAUGCCAUGACUCUAUUUCUAACUUAAAGAGCAUAAACGAUGAUUUAAAUGCUAAACUAGUAGAAGCAAAUAAAUCCAACUCUUGUGUUGAAUAUGUUGAAAUUUGCACUAGGUGUAAGGAUAUUGAUAUUAAUGCUUGUAGCGAACACUUAGUUUCUAUUUCAAAAUUGAAUGAUGAAUUAGCUAGUCUUAAUGCUCAACUUAAGACUAGCAAGAGUAAUUUUGAUAAACUAAAAUUUGCUAGGGAUGCCUACACGGUUGGUAGACACCCCUCAAUUAAGGAUGGGCUUGGCUUCAAGAGAGAAGUCAAGAACUUGACAAGCCAUAAGGCUCCUAUCUCCGCCAAGGAGAAAGGGAAGGCUCCUAUGGCUAAUAGCACUAAAAAGAACCAUGCUUUUUGUAUCAUGAUAGAAGACAAACUAGAAGUGCUUAUAGGGGUCAUAAUGCUUAUGAUGAUUUUGAUGCUCAUGUCAUGGUUGCUUCUAGUUCUUCUUAUGUGCAUAAUAGUGUCGGCGUUUCGAGACAGGGGGGUCCCUAAGCCGACGAGUGAGUGUGCUGCGUGCCCCAGCCUAGAUGGGUCGAGCGCGUGGGCGAGCGCGGAGGGGGGAGAGGCGAGGCGGCCGGAGCCGAGCGUGAGAGAGGUGGAAGUCCCGCGGCCUUCGUGUUCGUCCCGCGCCCAGGUCAGGUGCGCUUGCAGUAGGGGGGUUACAAGCGUCCACGCGGGUGAGGGAAGCGAGCGGCCCCAAGAGAGCGCCUGUCCCGUCCUCGGUCCCGCGCGGCCAACCUUCUCUGAGAAGGCCCUGGUCCUUCCUUUUAUAGUUGUAAGGAGAGGAUCCAGGUGUACAAUGGGGAUGUAGCAGAGUGCUACGUGUCUAGCGGAGGGAGAGCUAGUGCCCUAGGUACAUGCCGAUGUGGCAGCCGGAGAGAUCUGGGCAUCCUGCUGGCGUGAUGUCGUGGCUAUCGGAGGUGCGACGGAGCCUGAUGGAGGGACAGCUGUUGGAGCGGUCGAGUCCCUGCUGACGUUGUCCUGCUGCCGUAAGAGAGCUGGGGGCCGCCGUCGUCAUAGAGCUCGUGGAGCGCCAUCAUUGCCCCUCUGGCGGAGCUGGCCGGACAAGACGCCGGUCUUGUUCUCCGUGACCCGAGUCGAUUCGGGGUAGGAUGAUGAUGACGUUUCCUGUUGACGUGGCGGUCUGUGCUCUAGGCAGGGCGACGUGGGGUUUCCUCCGAAGCCGAGGUUGAGUCUUGCCUUCAGUUGCCGUGGCCGAGCCCGAGCCAGGGGGUCGGGCGAGGCGGAAGUCGUCCGGCCGAGGCCAGGGCGGAGUCCGAGCCCUGGGGUCGGGCGAGGCGGAGUUUCGUCGUCUUCCGGGUCUUAGCCCGAGUCCGAGCCCUGGGGUCGGGCGGAGCGGAGUUCGCCGUCUUCCGGGUCUUAGCCCGAGUCCGAGCCCUGGGGUCGGGCGGAGCGGAGUUCGCCGUCUUCCGGGUCUUAGCCCGAGUCCGAGCCCUGGGGUCGGGCGGAGCGGAGUUCGCCGUCUUCCGGGUCCUAGCCCGAGUCCGAGCCCUGGGGUCGGGCGGAGCGGAGUUCGCCGUCUUCCGGGUCCUAGCCCGAGUCCGAGCCCUGGGGUCGGGCGGAGCGGAGUUCGCCGUGGCGCCUUUGGCAAGGCCUAAUUGCCUGUCAGACUCACUCUGUCGAGUGGCACUGCAGUCGGAGUGGCGCAGGCGGCGCUGUCCUUCUGUCAGACUGGGCCAGUGGAGCGGUGGAGUGACGGCGGUCACCUCGGCUCUGCCGGGGGCGCGUGUCAGGAUAGAGGUGUCAGGCCACCUUUGCGUUAAAUGCCCCUGCAAUUUGGUCAGUCGGUGUGGUGAUUUAGUCAAGGUUGCUUCUGAGCGAAGCCAAGGCCUUGGGCAAGCCGGUGAUGUGUCCGCCAUAAAAAGGGGGCCUCGGGCGAGACGGAAGUCUCUCGAGGUCGGCUGCCUUCGGCCGAGGCUAGGCUCGGGUGAAGCGCGAUCGAGUCACUCGUGUGGACUGAUCCCUGCCUUAAUCGUGCCCAUCAGGCCUUUGCAGCUUUAUGCUGAUGGGGGUUACCAGCUGAGAAUUAGGCGUCUUGAGGGUACCCCUAAUUAUGGUCCCCGACAGUAGCCCCCGAGCCUCGAAGGGAGUGUUAGCACUCGCUUGGAGGCUUUUGUCGCACUUUUUUGCAAGGGGACCAGCCUUUCUCGGUUGCAUUUCGUUCCGGUGGGUGCGCGCGAGCGCACCCGCCGGGUGUAGCCCCCGAGGCCUCGGAGGAGUGGUUACACUCCUUCGAGGUCUUAAUACUUCGCUUAACGCUUCGGCUGGUCUGGUCGUUCCCUCAUGCGAACUGGCCGUAGCCCGGGUGCACGGUCGGGGCCCAAGCUCUCGGGCUGGUAUGUUGACGCUGUCAACGAUUUGGCCGGAGCCGGUUUUUGCGAGAGCAGCCCCCGAGCCUCUGCACAGGGCGAGAGGACGAUCAGGGACAGACUCGGCUUUUUACAUACGCCCCUACGUCGCCUUUCCGCAAGGAGGAGGGGGGGAGUGCGCCAUGUUACCCUCGAUGGGCACCGAACAUGGUGUCUCCGGUGAGCUGCAAGCGGGUAAUCCGAGUGGACGUCCGUGCCCCGUUCGUUGGGGGUCGGCUAGGGGCCCAGAGGCACGCCCAAAAGUACCUGCGGGUGACUUGCCGGACCCGGUCCCCUGGCGACGGGGUCCGAGGGCUCGAUGCCUCCCUCCGAUGGGAUUCCGUUACAAGAUCGUUCCCGCUGGUCUCGGAUAUGUCCUAGGGUACCUCGGGAGCGCAGCCCGAGCCUCGGUUAUGUAUCGAACGUACCCCUGGUCAUCCCUCGCUCGGUGUCUGAGGCGACUGUGAACCCUUCGGGGGCCAGCCUUCGAACCCCUGAUCAGUAAUGGGCGCGGAGCCCGAGUAGCCUGAGGCGGCCGUGGAGCCCUUCGGAGGGCUGGCCUUCGAACCCCUGACCAGUAGUGGGUGUCGGGCCCACGCGAUCUGAGGCGGCUGUUGAACCCUCGGGGGGCCAGCCUUCGAACCCCUGAUCAGUAAUGGGGGGCGCGGAGCCCGGUUCCUUCGUGGAGAAGGAUCCCUCUCGGGGUAUCCCCCUUCCCCGGUCCCUGUUGCAAGAGAUAGAGAAAGAGGAAAACGGAAAAGGAUACGAAAUCAGACGACGUGGCGUACCUUUUCUGACGCGGUUAUUAAGGCGAAGGUGAAGCGUCGCGCGCUCCUCCUACCAGAAGCGCCGCGUGUCCCGCCGCGGAGUUAAUGCGACGGGGCGAGUGGUUGGCGGGGCGGCCGUUGCGCGCGGGUGAUCCGUUCGAGGAACGGGUCACGGGUGCACCGUCUUCACGCCGUGAGAGGAGGCUCUCUUGCUGUCUCAGGAUGGGACGUGAGCCUGGCUGACGACGUGACCGCUGCGCCCGCCCGCCUGCCACCGCUAUUACUGCCGGCCCACUUUCGGUCGCUUUGACCGACGCGCCAGUCUGGCGCUGUUGGGUCGCCUCGAGUCGUGGCAUAGGCUUCGCAACCGAAGAGGCGCGAUGGUGGCACAAGUGGCGGUGCGGUUGCUUGCAUGCAGCAACUGGCGCGCCAGUUGCUCGACGCGUGGGCCUGGGCCCCAGGCUGGCGUGUCAGAAGUUGGAGAAGCGCGUCCAUCUGGCGCGGUUGCAUGCCGCCUGCAUGGCUGCUUGCCCCUUCUGCCCGUUGGUCUGGGCGAAAAUGGGGGGUCGCCUGUAACCGCUGGACGGUCGUGCGCACCAUGCGCGGCGGUUUGGCUUCUUCUGCCCUGAGCCGGCUUGUAUGACAUGCGGGACCCAGCCCCCGAGUCGCAGGGGAGGGCCUUGGAGCGUGUUGGAGAAGACUCGGCCCGCGGCGCUUGGGGGCGCACGUAGGGGGAGUUGCCUUUAAAAGGAGGGAGGCUCCUUUCGUAAGGCAACCAUGUCUUCUUCCUCCCUUAAGCGCUGGGUCUUCCCGUCUUCCAAGCCCCCGGAUGGGGGAUAUCCGCCGCCUUUCCGCCUCCUCGUUGGAGGAACACAACUCCAUGAGAGUUGGUACCUCUCAGCCAUCGUUCGGCUUCAAGGAUUUUCAUCAUGCUGCCCGGCUGCUCCCCUCCGCCGGCGGUCACCUGAGAUGGCGACCUCCGACUUGAUGGUGAGGGAAAGCGAGCCGGGCCGCGGCCUCUUCCUCUCCCUCAGCCUCAAGGAUUUUCAUCGCCAGGGCUGGGGAGGGGAGUGCGCCGAGUUGAGGUCGGCCCCCGCGUGGGCGGCAGCCCGCUCCUUCACUCAGUGAUCGGAGGGAAAGGCGGCCGUCGCCCGUGGCGCUGGCAGCUGCAGCGUGCCUGGCCUUCAGGCGUGAGUGGCUUCGGAGCCACUCGCGGCGCCGGCAUCCGCCGCGGCAGCUUGAAGAAGUUCUCCCGCCGGCGAGAUGGCCGGGGCCGACCGCGGGCUGACCUCCGACUCUAUGGCCUUCUGCCCGUCCUUGCCUCACAAGUUUUGGCAUGGGCGGGGGCUUCCUGGCAGCGGCAUCGAGCCCGAGGCUGGCGCUGCCGCUGCUUGGUCCCUCGGAGCAGAAGGCGUUGUCGUCGCUGCUGCUGGAGCGGGCGACGGCGCACCACUCGUCGGCCUUCCGUUGCUCCGCAGGCCUUCCCCCUCGGAGUGGGGUUGUUUGUACCUGCGGAGGGGGAACCGGAGUUCCGUUUGUAAUGGCACUUCGAAUGCCAGUGAGUUCGUUCAUUGUGGCUAUCGAGGCCUGAACGUGUAUGUAAUUUCGGCACGGAGCCGUGUUUUUUCCUCAUUUCCGAGCACUAAGUCUCGCCUGUUUUAUUAUCUGAACCGCUUUACCAAGCAUGAGUUGCCCCGUGUCAAGGUGACGGGUGAGGUAUCCGUAUCCCGGAGGCGUAGGAAUCCCUCGGCCCGUUCGGCCUUGUUACGUGAGGCUCCUCUAGCUUAGUUGAAGGGACCCCUCGGCCGCCCUUUGGUGGAUCGAGGCCGGGGGUAGCGAUAUCAGUAUGAACAGAGGCGGAGUUGGCUCGAGAAUGGGGAACCUGGUUGGCCGGAGCCUAGCCGUGUCGCCCGUCAGCGGUGCCGACGCCCAAGUCGGUCAGUCGAGGCCUCGGAUCGGGCUAGCGCCCUUGGAAGCCGGUUGCCCGAGGCCCCAGGGGUAACCGGUUGAGCCGCCUGCUCGGGCCGGAUUCCUGGAGGAGCCCCUGGACCUCGGCGCCGCCCGAGGCUGGGUCGGGCUUUGCUGUAGACGUCGUCGAUGCCGAGGGUGCUACGGCUCCCUUCGGCGUGAAGACCCGAGCCUGCAGGAUCAGAUCAUCUUGUAGCGUGCGCUUUCUGCGGCCGCCGAGGCCAGAAGAACACGCCCUCGCCGCGCUUGCGAAGCUGCGUCCUUUUUUCCUCUUGUUUCGAGCAUCUGGACUCUGUCGGUAAUAGGGAUGUUUGUGUGAGCGAGAGUUGCUUUUCGCGGAAGGGACGAGUGAGGUAUCCGUAUCCCAGAGGCGUGGGAAUCCCUCGGCUCGGUCGGCCUUGCCGCUUACGCGUACUUUCACCCGUCCAUGAGGCCCUGUCCCCGAUUUAGUCGAGAAAGCUUGAAGGACUGCUUCGGCAGGAGAGCUUCCGAACGUGAUGACUCGUUUGGUCCACGGAGUCGCUUUAUCCGAGCGCAAGUUACUUAUCGCAGAAGGGGACGAGUGAGGUAUCCGUAUCCCGGAGGCGUAGGAGUCCCUCGGCUCGGUCAGCCUUGGCUGCUUACGUGUACCUCGUCGUUUCCAGGAUCCGCUUUCCAAAGUAGUCAAGAAGCACGGAAGAAAUCCUGCUAAAAAGAGGUCCUUUUUCGAGGAAAAAAUUCGACGCAGAGGGGGUCUCCCCCCUUUUAGCCCCCGAGGGAGGGUCGGGCCUUGCCGAGGCUAGGCCGACCCUUCCUUGACAACUAAACUUUGCGUAGGUGCGAGGUAUAUGAACAACUUGAAAACAUCUUAAGGGUAGAAGCGACGUAGCUGUUUGAUGUUCCAAGCGUUGCCGUAGAUCUCGCCUUGAUUGUUGGCCAGCUUGUAUGUUCCGGGCUUCAGAACUUUGGCGAUGACGAACGGCCCUUCCCAGGGGGGCGUGAGCUUGUGCCUCCCUCGGGCGUCUUGUCGCAGCCGAAGCACCAGGUCGCCCACCUGGAGUUCUCGGGACCGGACCCCUCGGGCGUGGUAACGUCGCAGGGACUGUUGGUACCGCGCCGAGUGUAGUAAGGCCCUGUCCCGAGCUUCCUCCAACUGGUCCAGCGAUUCCUCUCGGCUGGCUUGGUUGCUUUGCUCGGUGUAGGCCCUCGCCCUUGGGGAGCCGUAUUCCAGGUCAGUGGGCAGGAUAGCUUCAGCCCCAUAGACCAGGAAAAACGGCGUGAAGCCCGUGGCACGACUCGGCGUCGUCCUUAGGCUCCAGACCACCGAGGGGAGUUCCUUCAUCCAUCGCCUGCCGAACUGGUUGAGGUCGUUGUAGAUCCGAGGCUUGAGCCCUUGUAGAAUCAUGCCGUUGGCACGCUCUACUUGCCCAUUCGACAUGGGAUGAGCCACGGCGGCCCAGUCCACCCGGAUAUGAUGAUCCUCGCAAAAAUCCAAGAAUUUUUUGCCGGUGAACUGGGUGCCGUUGUCGGUGAUGAUGGAGUUCGGGACCCCGAAGCGAUGGAUGAUGUUGGUGAAGAAUGCCACCGCCUGCUCGGACCUGAUGCUGUUCAGAGGUCGGACCUCGAUCCACUUGGAGAAUUUGUCGAUGGCGACCAGCAGGUGCGUGUAGCCCCCGGGCGCCUUUUGCAAGGGACCGACGAGGUCCAGACCCCAUACAGCGAAGGGCCAGGUGAUGGGUAUUGUCUGCAGAGCCUGAGCGGGCAGGUGUGUCCGCUUCGCAUAGAAUUGGCACCCUUCGCAGGUGCGGACAAUUCUAGUGGCGUCAGCCACCGCCGUUGGCCAGUAGAAGCCUUGCCGGAAAGCAUUUCCAACAAGGGCUCGGGGUGCUGCGUGGUGGCCGCAAGCCCCCGAGUGUACUUCUUGCAGCAGUUCCCGACCUUCGGCGAUGGAGAUGCAUCGCUGGAGGAUGCCCGAGGGGCUGCGAUGGUAGAGCUCCUCUUCGUCGCCCAGCAAGACGAAUGACUUGGCGCGUCGCGCUACCCGCCGAGCCUCGACUUGGUCGAGGGGUAGCUCUCCUUGACGGAGAUAUUGCAGGUACGGGGCCUGCCAAUCCUGGUCUGGCGUGGCCCCGCUCUGCCCUUCCUCGACGUUCAAUGCCCCGCCCUCGGGGGCCGAGAGUACCUCGGGCUGGGCCGAGGGUGCCUCAGGCUGAACCGAGGGUACCUCGGGCUGAGCCGAGGGUACCUCGGGCUGAGCCGAGGAUACCUCGGGCUCGGGCGCGUCGUCGAGCUUGACGGAGGGUUGAUGCAGAUCCCGGGAGAAGACGUCCGGGGGGACUGUCGUUCGCCCCGAGGCUAUCUUCGCCAGCUCGUCUGCGGUUUCGUUGUGGCGCCGAGCGAUGUGGUUGAGCUCGAGCCCGAAGAACUUGUCUUCCAGGCGCCGAACCUCGUCGCAGUAGGCCUCCAUCUUCGGGUCGCGGCAGUGGGAGUUCUUCAUGACUUGGUCGAUGACGAGCUGCGAAUCACCGCGUGCGUCGAGGCGUCUGACCCCUAGCUCGAUGGCGAUCCGCAAUCCGUUGACCAGAGCUUCGUACUCGGCCACAUUGUUGGACGCCGGGAAGUGGAGGCGCAGCACGUAGCGCAAGUGCUUUCCGAGGGGCGAGAUGAAGAGCAGGCCCGCACCGGCCCCCGUCUUCAUCAGCGACCCGUCGAAAAACAUGGUCCAGAGCUCCGGUUGGAUCGGAGUCGUUGGUAGUUGGGUAUCGACCCAUUCAGCCACGAAAUCCGCCAACACUUGGGACUUGAUGGCCUUCCGAGGGGCGAACGAGAUCGUUUCGCCCAUGAUCUCCACUGCCCACUUUGCGAUCCUGCCCGAGGCCUCUCGGCACUGGAUGAUCUCCCCCAGGGGGAAGGAUGACACUACAGUCACCGGAUGGGACUCGAAGUAGUGUCGUAGCUUCCGCCUCGUCAGGAUCACAGCAUACAGCAGCUUUUGAACUUGUGGGUAGCGGAUCUUAGUCUCGGACAGCACUUCGCUGAUGAAGUAAACCGGCCUCUGAACGGGCAAUGUAUGCCCUUCCUCCUGCCUUUCGACCACAAUCGCGGCGCUAACCACCUGAGUGGUCGCGGCGACGUAGACCAAGAGGGUUUCUCCAUCCGCCGGCGGCACCAAGACUGGCGCCUUUGUAAGGAGCGCCUUUAGGUUGCCGAGGGCUUCCUCGGCCUCAGGGGUCCAAACGAAACACUCGGCUUUCCUUAAAAGGCGGUAUAGGGGCAGACCUCUUUCGCCGAGGCGUGAGAUGAAGCGGCUCAGGGCCGCGAGGCAUCCCAUGACCCUCUGUACCCCUUUUAAGUCCUUGAUGGGCCCCAUGCUGGUGAUGGCCGCGAUCUUCUCCGGGUUGGCCUCGGUGCCUCGCUCAGAGACGAUGAACCCUAGGAGCAUGCCUCGGGGCACCCCGAAGACACACUUCUCAGGAUUAAGCUUGACUCCUUUCGCCUUGAGACACCGGAAUGUCACUUCAAGGUCGGAGAGGAGGUUGGGAGCCUUCCGUGUCUUGACUACGAUGUCAUCGACGUAGGCCUCGACUGUGCGACCGAUGUGUUCGCCGAACACAUGGUUCAUGCACCGCUGGUACGUCGCGCCUGCAUUCCUCAGGCCGAACGGCAUGGUGACGUAGCAGUACAUGCCGAACGGCGUGAUGAAAGAAGUCGCGAGCUGGUCGGACUCUUUCAUCCGGAUCUGGUGAUACCCCGAGUAGGCAUCGAGGAAGGACAGGGUUUCGCACCCAGCAGUGGAAUCCACGAUUUGGUCGAUGCGAGGCAGAGGGUAGGGAACCUUCGGACAUGCUUUGUUGAGACCAGUGUAGUCUACACACAUCCGCCAUUUCCCCCCUUUCUUCCUCACAAGCACAGGGUUGGCAAGCCAUUCGGGAUGGAAUACCUCUUUGAUGAACCCUGCCGCCAUUAGCUUGUGGAUCUCUUCGCCAAUCGCUCUGCGCUUCUCCUCGUCGAACCGGCGCAGAGGCUGUCUGACGGGUCGGGCUCCGGCCCGAAUAUCCAGCGAGUGCUCGGCGACAUCCCUCGGUAUGCCGGGCAUGUCCGAGGGACUCCACGCAAAGACGUCGGCGUUUGCGCGGAGAAAGUCGACGAGCACUGCUUCCUAUUUGGGGUCGAGCCCGGAACCGAUCCGGAUCUGCUUGGUGGUGUCGCCGCUGGGGUCGAGGGGGACGGCCUUGACCGUCUCCGCUGGCUCGAAGUUGCCGGCAUGGCGCUUCACGUCUGGGACCUCCUUGGAGAGGUUCUCCAGGUCGGCGAUGAGGGCCUCGGACUCGGCGAGGGCCUCGGCGUACUCCACGCACUCCACGUCGCAUUCGAACGCGUGUUUGUACGUGGGGCCGACGGUGAUGACCCCGUUGGGGCCCGGCAUCUUGAGCUUCAGGUAGGUGUAGUUGGGGACGGCCAUGAACUUCGCGUAGCAUGGCCUCCCUAACACGGCGUGGUAGGUUCCUCGGAACCCGACCACUUCGAACGUCAGGGUCUCCCUUCGGAAGUUGGAGGGUGUCCCGAAGCAGACUGGGAGGUCGAGUCGCCCGAGGGGCUGGACGCGCUUCCCAGGGAUGAUCCCGUGGAAGGGCGCAGCGCCUGCUCGGACGGUGGACGGAUCGACGCGCAGGAGCUUGAGGGUCUCGGCGUAGAUGAUGUUGAGGCAGCUGCCCCCGUCCAUCAGGACCUUGGUGAGCCUGACAUCGCCGACAACGGGGUCGACGACGAGCGGGUAUUUCCCCGGGCUCGGCACAUGGUCGGGGUGGUCGGCUCGGUCGAAAGUGAUGGGCUUGUCGGACCAGUCUAGGUAGACUGGCGCCGCCACCUUCAACGAGCAGACCUCCCGGCGCUCUUGCUUGCGGUGCCGAGCCGAGGCAUUCGCUGCAUGCCCUCCGUAGAUCAUGAAGCAGUCGCGGACCUCGGGGAAUUCUCCUGCUUGGUGAUCUUCGUUCUUGUCGUCGUCGCGGGCCCUGCCACCCUCGGCGGGUGGCCCGGCCCUGUGGAAAUGAUGCCGAAGCAUAACACACUCCUCGAGGGUGUGCUUGACGGGCCCCUGAUGGUAGGGGCACGGCUCCUUGAGCAUCUUGUCGAAGAGGUUUGCACCUCCGGGGGGCUUCCGAGGGUUCUUAUACUCGGCGGCGGCGACAAGGUCCGCGUCGGCGGCGUCGCGUUUCGAUUGCGACUUCUUCUUGCCUUUCUUCUUGGCGCCGCGCGGAGCAGACGCCUCGGGGGCUUCUUCCGAUGGGCGGCCCUGGGGCUGCUUGUCCUUUCGGAAGAUAGCCUCGACCGCCUCCUGGCCGGAGGCGAACUUGGUGGCGAUGUCCAUCAGCUCGCUCGCCCUGGUGGGGGUUUUGCGACCCAGCUUGCUCACCAGGUCGCGGCAAGUGGUGCCGGCGAGGAACGCGCCGAUGACAUCCGAGUCGGUGAUGUUUGGCAGCUCGGUGCGCUGCUUCGAGAAUCGCCGGAUGUAGUCCCGGAGCGACUCCCCCGGCUGUUGCCGGCAGCUUCGAAGGUCCCAGGAAUUCCCGGGGCGCACGUAUGUGCCCUAGAAAUUGCCAGCGAAGGCUUGGACCAAGUCGUCCCAGUUGGAAAUCUGCCCCGGAGGCAGGUGCUCCAACCAAGCACGAGCAGUGUCGGAGAGGAACAGGGGGAGGUUGCGGAUGAUGAGGUUGUCGUCGUCCGUUCCACCCAGUUGGCAGGCAAGGCGGUAGUCCGCGAGCCACAGCUCCGGUCUCGUUUCCCCCGAGUACUUUACGAUAGUAGUCGGGGGUCGGAACUGGGUCGGGAAUGGCGCCCGUCGAAUGGCCCGACUGAAAGCCUGCGGACCGGGUGGUUCGGGCGAAGGACUCCGAUCCUCCCCGCUGUCGUAACGUCCCCCACGCCUGGGGUGAUAGCCUCGGCGCACCCUUUCGUCGAGGUGAGCCCGACGGUCGCGUCGAUGGUGCUCGUUGCCGAGGUGGCCCGGGGCCGCAGGCGCGGUGUUGCGCGUGCGCCCGGUGUAGACCGAGGCUUCCCGCAUGAAUCGGGAAGUCGCGGCAUGAGGUUCCGAGGGAUAUCCUUGCCUUCGGGAUGCAGUGCUCUCGGCCCGCCGGGCCGCGGCGCCUUCCAGGAGAUUCUUGAGUUCUCCCUGGAUCCACCGACCCUCGGUGGUUGACGGCUCCGGCAUCGCGCGGAUGAGCAUUGCUGCGGUUGCCAGGUUCUGACCGACCCCGCUGGAUGCGGGCGGCGGCCUGAUCCUGACGUCGUUGGCGACGCGGUGCUGGAGACCUUGGGGCAGAUGACGUAUUUCUCCGGCCAGGGGUUGGCCCACCCAUGCCUGUCCGACGUCCCGACGGAUCGGCUCAAGCGCUCCCGUUCCCUCGUUGAGCCUGGCCUGCGCCUCGCGGACUUGCUCGAGUUGUGGGUCGUAACCCCCCGCCGGAGCGGGGACCACAGCUAGCUCCCGUGGGAUGUCGGCGCGAGGCACCGGCCUAGGGAGAUCACCAUCCUCCGGCAUGCCAAGAUGGUUGCCUUCGGUGGGAUUCCCUAGCUCGAUGUGGAAACAUUCGCGGCUUGGGCCGCAGCUCUCGUCGCCAAGGCUGCGGCUUGCAUCGGAACAGUCAGACAGACAGUAGUCACAUGCGGCCAUGAAGUCCCGCACGACACUGGGGUUGCCAAGUCCGGAGAAAUCCCAACCGAUGCUGGGGUCAUCAUCUUCCUCGGACCCAGAGGGCCCGUAGGUCGAGACGUCCGUCAGUCGGUCCCAAGGCGAUCGCAUACAGAACCUCAGUGGGGUUGCACUCGCCUCAAUGAGGGCGCCCGCCAAAACGAGGUCGUUUGGCGGGUUGAGGCCGAGUCGAAAUGACGCAAGAUGGGAGUUAGUCGUUACCUUUUGGUCGACGAGGAGCGACGUAGUCACAUCGGGGACUGGUUGCGCCGUCAUCUCUGGUUCGAGGGCGACGUCCUGCAGGCUUUCCGCGAGCGCGCCGGCGUCGUCUUCUUGCUCGGGGUCGUCGUGCCGCGGGGGGACGGCGCUUGCCUCCGUCUUGAACGCGAGGUCGAUGUCCGGCGUGCCUUCCGUCGGGGCGUCGGGGGCGUCGAUUCGCUCGACGGCCGGCGAAGCGCGGCCUCCCGUCUGGCCUUGACGGCCCCGCCUCCUCCUCCGUUGGCGGGGGAGAGAACGGAGCGAGCCCGAAUGUUGCUUUUCCACCACGCGGGGUAGACGUCGUCGAUUCCGCCGCCGGCGGGCGGGUUGUCGGCCGCCAUUGUCGUGGUCGCACGGCGGUGGAAGAAGUAUCAUGUCGUAGCUGCCGUCGAAGGACAUGAACUCGAGAGCCCCGAAACGAAGCACCGUCCCGGGCCGGAGAGGUUGCUGGAGACUGCCCAUCUGGAGCUUGACGGGGAGCUAUUCGUCAGCACGCAGCAGGCCCCUACCUGGCGCGCCAACUGUCGGCGUUUCGAGACAGGGGGGUCCCUAAGCCGACGAGUGAGUGUGCUGCGUGCCCCAGCCCAGAUGGGUCGAGCGCGUGGGCGAGCGCGGAGGGGGGAGAGGCGAGGCGGCCGGAGCCGAGCGUGAGAGAGGUGGAAGUCCCGCGGCCUUCGUGUUCGUCCCGCGCCCAGGUCAGGUGCGCUUGCAGUAGGGGGUUACAAGCGUCCACGCGGGUGAGGGAAGCGAGCGGCCCCAAGAGAGCGCCUGUCCCGUCCUCGGUCCCGCGCGGCCAACCUUCUCUGAGAAGGCCCUGGUCCUUCCUUUUAUAGUUGUAAGGAGAGGAUCCAGGUGUACAAUGGGGAUGUAGCAGAGUGCUACGUGUCUAGCGGAGGGAGAGCUAGUGCCCUAGGUACAUGCCGAUGUGGCAGCCGGAGAGAUCUGGGCAUCCUGCUGGCGUGAUGUCGUGGCUAUCGGAGGUGCGACGGAGCCUGAUGGAGGGACAGCUGUUGGAGCGGUCGAGUCCCUGCUGACGUUGUCCUGCUGCCGUAAGAGAGCUGGGGGCCGCCGUCGUCAUAGAGCUCGUGGAGCGCCAUCAUUGCCCCUCUGGCGGAGCUGGCCGGACGAGACGCCGGUCUUGUUCUCCGUGACCCGAGUCGAUUCGGGGUAGGAUGAUGAUGACGUUUCCUGUUGACGUGGCGGUCUGUGCUCUAGGCAGGGCGACGUGGGGUUUCCUCCGAAGCCGAGGUUGAGUCUUGCCUUCAGUUGCUGUGGCCGAGCCCGAGCCAGGGGGUCGGGCGAGGCGGAAGUCGUCCGGCCGAGGCCAGGGCGGAGUCCGAGCCCUGGGGUCGGGCGAGGCGGAGUUUCGUCGUCUUCCGGGUCUUAGCCCGAGUCCGAGCCCUGGGGUCGGGCGGAGCAGAGUUCGCCGUCUUCCGGGUCUUAGCCCGAGUCCGAGCCCUGGGGUCGGGCGGAGCGGAGUUCGCCGUCUUCCGGGUCUUAGCCCGAGUCCGAGCCCUGGGGUCGGGCGGAGCGGAGUUCGCCGUCUUCCGGGUCCUAGCCCGAGUCCGAGCCCUGGGGUCGGGCGGAGCGGAGUUCGCCGUCUUCCGGGUCCUAGCCCGAGUCCGAGCCCUGGGGUCGGGCGGAGCGGAGUUCGCCGUGGCGCCUUUGGCAAGGCCUAAUUGCCUGUCAGACUCACUCUGUCGAGUGGCACUGCAGUCGGAGUGGCGCAGGCGGCGCUGUCCUUCUGUCAGACUGGCCAGUGGAGCGGUGGAGUGACGGCGGUCACCUCGGCUCUGCCGGGGGCGCGUGUCAGGAUAGAGGUGUCAGGCCACCUUUGCGUUAAAUGCCCCUGCAAUUUGGUCAGUCGGUGUGGUGAUUUAGUCAAGGUUGCUUCUGAGCGAAGCCAAGGCCUUGGGCAAGCCGGUGAUGUGUCCGCCAUAAAAAGGGGGCCUCGGGCGAGACGGAAGUCUCUCGAGGUCGGCUGCCUUCGGCCGAGGCUAGGCUCGGGUGAAGCGCGAUCGAGUCACUCGUGUGGACUGAUCCCUGCCUUAAUCGUGCCCAUCAGGCCUUUGCAGCUUUAUGCUGAUGGGGGUUACCAGCUGAGAAUUAGGCGUCUUGAGGGUACCCCUAAUUAUGGUCCCCGACAAAUAGAAAUAUGUCUAGGAAAAAUGCUAUGCCUAGAAAGAAUAUUACUCAUGCUCCUAGGAAAGUAGUGAAUGAACCUUCUACAAUUUAUUAUGCUUUAAAUGCUUCCUUUGCUAUUUGUAGAAAGGAUAAGAAAAUUGUUGCUAGGAAGUUAGGGGCAAAAUGCAAGGGAGACAAAACUUGCAUUUGGGUCCCUAAGGAUAUUUGCACUAACCUUGUAGGACCCAACAUGAGUUGGGUACCUAAGUCCCAAGCCUAAAUUUGCCUUGCAGGUUUAUGCAUCCGGGGUUCAAGCUGGAUUAUCGACAGCGGAUGCACAAACCAUAUGACGGGGGAGAAGAAGAUGUUCACCUCCUACGUCAAGAAUAAGGAUUCCCAAGAUUCAAUCAUAUUCGGUGAUGGGAAUCAAGGCAAGGUAAAAGGGUUAGGUAAAAUUGCAAUUUCUAAUGAGCACUCAAUUUCUAAUGUGUUUUUAGUUGAGUCUUUGGGAUAUAAUUUAUUAUCUGUAAGUCAAUUAUGCAAUAUGGGAUAUAAUUGUCUUUUUACAAAUGUAGAUGUGUCUGUCUUUAGAAGAAGUGAUGGUUCACUAGCUUUUAAGGGUGUAUUAGACGGCAAACUUUAUUUAGUUGAUUUUGCAAAAGAAGAGGCCGGUCUAGAUGCAUGCUUAAUAGCUAAGACUAGCAUGGGCUGGCUGUGGCAUCGCCGCUUAGCACAUGUGGGGAUGAAGAACCUUCACAAGCUUCUAAAGGGAGAACACGUGAUAGUUUUGACUAACGUGCAAUUCGAAAAAGAUAGACCUUGUGCAGCUUGUCAAGCAGGUAAACAAGUGGGAGGAGCACAUCACAGCAAGAAUGUGAUGACCACUUCAAGACCCCUGGAGCUGCUGCAUAUGGACCUCUUCGGACCCGUCGCCUAUCUGAGCAUAGGAGGGAGUAAGUAUGGUCUAGUUAUUGUUGAUGACUUUUCCCGCUUCACUUGGGUGUUCUUUUUGCAGGAUAAGUCUGAAACCCAAGGGACCCUCAAGCGCUUCCUCAGGAGAGCUCAAAAUGAGUUUGAGCUCAAGGUGAAGAAGAUAAGGAGCGACAACGGGUCCGAGUUCAAGAACCUUCAAGUGGAAGAGUUCCUUGAAGAAGAAGGGAUCAAGCACGAGUUCUCCGCUCCCUACACACCACAGCAAAAUGGUGUGGUAGAGAGGAAGAACAGGACGCUCAUCGAUAUGGCAAGGACGAUGCUAGGAGAGUUCAAGACCCCCGAGUGCUUUUGGACGGAAGCCGUGAACACAGCUUGCCACGCCAUCAACAGGGUCUACCUUCAUCGCCUCCUAAAGAAGACGUCGUAUGAGCUACUAACCGGUAACAAACCCAAUGUAUCUUACUUUCGUGUAUUUGGGAGCAAGUGCUACAUUCUAGUAAAGAAAGGUAGAAAUUCUAAGUUUGCUCCCAAAGCUGUAGAAGGGUUUUUGUUAGGUUAUGACUCAAAUACAAAGGCGUAUAGAGUCUUCAACAAAUCAUCGGGUUUGGUUGAAGUCUCUAGCGACGUUGUAUUUGAUGAGACUAAUGGCUCUCCAAGAGAGCAAGUUGUUGAUUGUGAUGAUGUAGAUGAAGAAGAUGUUCCGACGGCCGCUAUACGAACCAUGGCGAUUGGAGAAGUUCGGCCACAGGAACAAGUUGAACGAGAUCAACCUUCUUCCUCAACAACCGUGCAUCCCUCAACUCAAGACGAUGAACAGGUUCAUCAACAGGAGGCAUGUGAUCAAGGGGGAGCACAAGUUGAUCAUGUGAUGGAGGAAGAAGCGCAACCGGCACCUCCAACCCAAGUUCGAGCGAUGAUUCAAAGGGAUCAUCCCGUCGACCAAAUUCUGGGUGACAUUAGCAAGGGAGUAACUACUCGUUCUCGAUUAGUUAAUUUUUGUGAGCAUUACUCCUUUGUCUCUUCUAUUGAGCCUUUCAGGGUAGAGGAGGCCUUGCUAGAUACGGACUGGGUGUUGGCCAUGCAGGAGGAGCUCAACAACUUCAGGCGCAAUGAAGUUUGGACACUGGUGCCUCGUCCGAAGCAAAAUGUUGUGGGAACCAAGUGGGUGUUCCGCAACAAACAGGACGAGCACGGGGUGGUGACGAGGAACAAGGCUCGACUUGUGGCAAAAGGUUAUGCCCAAGUCGCAGGUUUGGACUUUGAGGAGACCUUUGCUCCUGUGGCUAGGCUAGAAUCAAUUCGUAUCUUGCUAGCAUAUGCCGCUCACCAUUCUUUCAGGUUGUUCCAAAUGGAUGUGAAGAGCGCCUUCCUCAACGGGCCAAUCAAGGAGGAGGUGUACGUGGAGCAACCCCCUGGCUUCGAGGAUGAACGGUACCCCGACCACGUGUGUAAGCUCUCUAAGGCGCUCUAUGGACUUAAGCAAGCCCCAAGAGCAUGGUAUGAAUGCCUUAGAGACUUUUUACUUGCUAAUGCUUUCAAGGUUGGGAAAGCCGAUCCAACUCUGUUCACUAAGACAUGUGAUGGUGAUUUGUUUGUGUGCCAAAUUUAUGUCGAUGACAUAAUAUUUGGUUCUACUAACCAAAAGUCUUGUGAAGAGUUUAGCAGGGUGAUGACGCAAAAAUUCGAGAUGUCGAUGAUGGGCGAGUUGAACUACUUCCUUGGGUUCCAAGUGAAGCAACUCAAGGACGGCACCUUCAUCUCCCAAACGAAGUACACGCAAGAUCUGCUAAAGCGGUUUGGGAUGAAGGACGCCAAGCCCGCAAAGACUCCGAUGGGGACUGACGGACACACAGACCUCAACAAAGGAGGUAAGUCCGUUGAUCAAAAAGCAUACCGGUCAAUGAUAGGGUCUUUACUUUACUUAUGUGCUAGUAGACCGGAUAUUAUGCUUAGUGUAUGCAUGUGUGCUAGAUUUCAAUCCGAUCCUAAGGAAUGUCACUUAGUGGCGGUGAAGCGAAUUCUUAGAUAUUUGGUUGCUACGCCUUGCUUCGGGCUCUGGUAUCCAAAGGGGUCUACCUUUGACUUGGUUGGAUACUCAGACUCCGACUAUGCUGGAUGUAAGGUCGAUAGGAAGAGUACAUCAGGGACGUGCCAAUUCUUAGGAAGAUCCCUGGUGUCAUGGAACUCUAAGAAACAAACUUCCGUUGCCCUAUCCACCGCUGAGGCCGAGUACGUUGCCGCAGGACAGUGUUGCGCGCAACUACUUUGGAUGAGGCAAACCCUCCGGGACUUUGGCUACAAUCUGAGCAAAGUCCCACUCCUAUGUGAUAAUGAGAGUGCUAUCCGCAUGGCGGAAAAUCCUGUUGAGCACAGCCGCACAAAGCACAUAGACAUCCGGCAUCACUUUUUGAGAGACCACCAGCAAAAGGGAGAUAUCGAAGUGUUUCAUGUUAGCACCGAGAACCAGCUAGCCGAUAUCUUCACUAAGCCUCUAGAUGAGAAGACCUUUUGCAAGUUGCGUAGUGAGCUAAAUGUCUUAGAUUCGCGGAACUUGGAUUGAAUUGUAGCAUACAUGUGUUUAUGCUUUUGAUCAUGUUCAUUCUGCAUUUUGUUGCUUAUUGUGGUGCUCAAGUUGUACAAACACUCCCUGGACCUCACAAGUCCGUUGCAAAGUGAUGCACAUGUUUAGGGGGAGAUGUGUUACAACUUGACCCUUUGAGACUAACCAUAUGCUUGAGUUUGCUUGAUUUAGUCUCGAAGGAGAAUUGAAAGGGAAAAGGUGGACUUGGACCAUGAAAGACUUCCACUGCACUCCGAUGCGAGGGUAACUUAUUCCAAGUCCAUCUCAUGAACUCUUAUUGCCAUUUGAUCUUAAUUGAAGAUUUUGGUGAGGCAAUGGGGUUAAAGGGCCACGAUUGAUCCCGUUUUGGUGCUUGAUGCCAAAGGGGGAGAAAAUAAAGGCCAAAGCGAUAAAUGGAUCAGCUACCACUUGAGAGAUUUUGAAAAUAGUAGAAUAGAGUUUUUGUUUUGUUAAACUUUUUUGUUGUCUCUUAUUGUCUCUCUUGUCAAAGUUGGCUUCUUGUGGGGAGAAGUGUUAAUUAUGGGAAAUAGGGACAGUUUUUGAAAUCUUUGAUCAAUCUCUUUUGGAAUGACUCUAUUUAUGCUUCAACAUGUGUGUUUGACUUAGAGAUAGAGAUUUGAGUUUGAUUUGCAAAAACAAACCAAGUGGUGGCAAAGGAUGAUCCAUAUAUGCCAAAUCGAAUCAAAAUGAAUUUAAGUUUUAUUUGGAGUGAUUCUGCACUUGUUCUAGUUGCUUUAUGUUGUGUUGGCAUAAAUCACCAAAAAGGGGGAGAUUGAAAGGGAAAUGUGCCUUUGGGCCAUUUCUAAGUAUUUUGGUGAUUGAGUGCCAACACAAGUGCUUAAAUGUGAAUCUAUGCCCAUGGAUGAACAAAGUGCAAAUCACAAGUAAAGGUAUGUUUCUAAGCCUCAGUACAUUGGUUUUGUGUACUAAUAUAUUUGUCUAAGUGUUAGAAACAGAGAGAAGAAGAAAAGGAGAAUGUUGGCUGUGUACAGCCAACAGGCUGUUUCGGUCUGGUGCACACCGGACAGUGUCCGGUGCGCCAGGCUGCCUCGGCCGAAGAGGCCGCUCUCGGGAAUUUGCUGACGGUGUACGGCUAAAAUUCACCGGACUGUCCGGUGUGCACCGAACUGUCCGGUGAGUCAACGGUCGGCCGAGCCAACGGUCGGCCGCAGAAUCUGCGCGCGACACGUGGUCUGGCCAACGGUCGGAAGGAGGCACCGGACUGUCCGGUGUGCACCGGACUGUCCGGUGCGCCAGAUCUGCAACGGUCGGCAACGGUCGGCUGCGCUGUUUAUGGAAAUAAAUCGGGCACCGGACAGUGUCCGGUGUGCACCGGACUGUCCGGUGCGCCCGACGACAGAAGGCAAGAUUGGCCUUCUGGAUUUGCUCUCAACGGCUCCUAGCUGCCUUGGGGCUAUAAAAGGGACCCCUAGGCGCAUGGAGGAGACAACCAAGCAACCUUAGAGCAUUCCUGAUCAUCCACACUCAGUCUUUGCGCAUCCGAUUGUCAUUCUAAGUGAUUCGAGCUCCGUUCUUGUGAGAACCUUGAGAUAGUCUUUUGAGCUCGACUCUUGGCCGUGUGUGUGCGCGUUUUGCUGUGGAUUUGUGUGUGUUGCUUCCCUCCCUUACUCCGUAUUUCUUUGUGAAUCUCAAGUGUAAGGGCGAGAGACUCCAAGUUGUGGAGAUUCCUCACAAACGGGAUAUUGAAAGAAAAGCAUAACACUGUGGUAUUCAAGUUGAUCAUUGGAUCACUUGAGAGGAGUUGAGUGCAACUCUCGUCCAUUGGGACGCCACAACGUGGAGUAGGCAAGUUUUGUACUUGGCCGAACCACGGGAUAAAUCACUGUGUCUUCUCUGUGUUGAACUCCUUGUGAUUAUCAUAUUGUGCAAGAUCUUCUCUCUAGCCACUUGGCAUUAACUGUGCUAACACUUAAUCAAAGUUUUGUGGCUUAAGUUUUGAAGUUUACAGGAUCACCUAUUCACCCCCCCCCCCCUCUAGGUGCUCUCAACUGGGACAGUAAUAACAAAGAUCAGUUGACUGAAGUUGGCCCAGAAAACUCAAAUUUUCAGUUUCAGUUCACUGUUCCCAGUCAGGCUAUGUUGUAUCCUUCUGGUACAGGUGAGGAGGGUGAGAGUUCUGGGGGUGGUGAAGUACCCUCAGUGUCACCACUACCACAAUCACCUGUGUCACCACUACCACAAUCACCUGUGACCCCUCAAAAUUCAAGAACUCAACCUAUACUUUCAGGAUCACAAGCACAAAAUCUAGGCUCAGUUUCAGUUACUAGUUACAAUUCACAACCAUCUAGUUCAGAAAGUUCAGGAAUGGUUCCUGCGAAAUAUAGGACAUUGACUGACCUGUUUGAAAAUACUGAAGAAAUACUCGAUUAUGAGUACAGUGCUGUAUGUAUGUUAGCAGUGGAUGAACCUGUGGAUGUUGAAACAACUCUGAAGAGUCUAAAGUGGAGAGAAGCUAUGCAAUCAGAACUCAAAUCAAUAGAAGCCAACAACACUUGGUUUUGGUCUGAUCUGCCUAGAGGUCACAAAGCCAUAGGUUUGAAGUGGGUUUUCAAACUUAAGAAAGAUGCUGCAGGUAAUGUUGUCAAACACAAAGCGAGACUUGUUGCCAAAGGGUAUGCACAGAAAGAAGGUGUGGACUAUGAUGAAGUUUUUGCACCAGUGGCUAGAUUAGAGACCGUCAGAGUUCUGUUGGCACUGGCAGCACAAGGAAACUGGCAGGUACAUCAUAUGGAUGUAAAGUCAGCUUUCUUAAAUGGCAACCUGCAAGAAGAGGUGUAUGUAUUGCAACCACCAGGUUUUGAAGACCCAAAAGGAAUUAGAAAAGUUCUGAGAUUGAAGAAGGCUUUAUAUGGCUUGAAACAAGCUCCAAGAGCUUGGAAUGCCAGACUUGACUCUGAGUUAACUCUUCUGGGUUUUGAGAAAUGUAAGGUGGAACAUGUUGUGUACAGGAAAGGGAUUGGUCAUUCUUUGUUGGUGGUAGGAGUUUAUGUUGAUGAUCUUAUUAUCUGUGGGCCCUCUGUGACAGAAAUCACAAUUUUCAAGCAGCAGAUGAAGCAUACUUUCAGCAUGAGUGACUUAGGCUUGCUCAGUUACUAUUUAGGUAUGGAGGUCAGACAAUUGGAGAGUGAGAUUACAAUCUGCCAGAGCUCUUAUGCAGCAAAGAUCGUUGAUCAGUGUAAUAUGACAGGAUGUAAUCCUACAGACACUCCCAUGGAACAACGAACAAAGCUCACAUCCGGUGCAAGAGGAACUGAAGUUGAUCAAACAAGAUAUAGAAGUAUCAUUGGCAGUCUAAGGUAUUUGGUGAAUACAAGACCUGAUUUGUCUUUCUCAGUUGGACUUGUUCGCAGGUUCAUGGAGACUCCAAACAAAGAGCACUGGAAUACUGUGAAAAGGAUUGUGAGGUAUAUAGCUGGAACAAUCAAUUUUGGAGUAAAAUUCAAAAAAGGAGGAGGGGGUCUGUCUUUACUAGGAUACACUGACAGUGACUGUUCGGGUGAUCUCGUUCACAGGAAAAGUACCUCAGGUAUCCUAUUCUUUUUGGGCAUCAAUCCAGUAACCUGGUCAUCUCAAAAACAAAGAGUGGUUGCUCUGUCAUCUUGUGAAGCAGAAUACAUUUCAGCAGCAUUGGGUGUGUGUCAGGGGGUCUGGCUAAGUAUGCUGUUAGCCGAUAUUACAAAAGAAGAGGUGCAGAAGUUUAGUCUACUCAUCGAUAAUAUGUCAGCAAUAGAACUAAGCAAGAAUCCAGUGCACCAUGAUAGGAACAAACACAUUGACACUCGCUACCAUUACAUCUGUGAUUGCAUUGAACAAGGCAUGGUAGAUGUAGACCAUGUGGGAAGUGAUCAUCAGCUUGCAGAUAUACUGACCAAGCCAUUGGGCAGAAUCAAGUUCGUGGAGCUCAGGACAAAGUUGGGAGUGGCUCCGGUUCAACUAGAUUAGGGGGUGAUUUGUUAGUUUUUCCAUAAACAUUUGCUUUCUGUAAUCUAGUUGAUUGUUGAGGCGUAGAAUCGCGAGCGUGUCAGUGCGGUGCCUGACUGCGUCGUGACCGCCAAGUUAGAUAUAUCCUGUCGCUGAACAUGCUGCACCUGUCCACUGUGUUCCUUAAAAGGGGGAGAAUGUGGGGCAUGGACUUGUGGCGGCGGGAGAUCCGGGCAUUAGGCCAUGUAAUUGCUUUUUACUUUAAAUAACAGAAAAGCAAAAGGUUGCGCUGUGACAGUUGCGCAGACCCAUCUCAUUUUCUCUCUGUGCUUGUGUUUCUCAUACCUGGGGUUUUCUGGGGUUUUCUCUGGUGGCGCUCGCUCCACCACGGUGACCGCCCCCAGAAGCCCGACUCGCCGCCCAGCUCCGUUGUCUGCAAAGCCAGCUGCCGAGUCCAGGAUCCAACAUCAGUGUUGGCCCAAGAGACCUAAAGCCCGCUGCUAUACGUGCGGGCGCAUGUGUCGCGGCCCGACAGCCUGGGUAGGCGCGCCGUGAGUGCGGGCGGCCCCGACGGACACGCCAUGUGUCGGCGGUCCGGUUCCAACAAUUGGUAUCAAAGCCAGGUUGGCCCAGUGCAUUCUCAGACAAAUCUCGGCUCACAAUGUGUGAGGGGGAGAUUGUUGGGAAUAGUCACACAUUGUCUGGUGAGAGUGAAAAAGCAUGGUUUAUAUGGUUGAAGGUGCAACCCCCUGAAGGGCUAGCUUUUUGGGGGAGUAUUGGCCCAAGAGACCUAAAGCCCACUGCUAUACGUGUGGGCGCGUGUGUCGCGGCCCGACAGCCUGGGUGGGCGCGCCGUGAGUGCGGGCGGCCCCGACGGACACGCCAUGUGUCGGCGGUCCGGUUCCAACAUAUGUUGCUUACAGUAGAUUGUGUAUAUGAUCAUGAGAUGUUUUUACUGUACACAACACUGUUUACAUGUACGAACAUGAGAUGUUUUUUUACUGUAGAUAACACUGUUUACAAAGUAUUUUUUAAAAUAUAAGAUAAUAUAAAACUAUUGGAGAUAGUCUUAUAAUAAUGAAUGGAAAUUAUGUAGUAGCAAAGGGGUGCAUCUUUGAUAUCAGGUUCUGUGGUGGCCGCCCUUUUGACAUUACUGGACUAAAGCCUCGGUGAGACGGUGACCAUCAGGUAGCAGCUGAAAAUUAGAUUCAAAGUGCCCAGUUACUUCUUCCUUUUUUAAGGUCAUGUUUGGAAGAACUUCACUUUAAAAAUUUAGCUUUGGUUCUCUAAUUUCACUAUAAAACAGAUUCAAUAGAUUGGUAAGACGGGGAUCAAGAGUGUUUGGCUUGCACAUAGACUUCAGCUUUUGUAAUACAAUUUAUUUGUAUGAAUUUCCUUAAUUACCCUUAAUGAUUAGUGGAAUGAGAAAGAAACAUGUAUCGGUAGAUCAUGUAAACGAUGUCAUGGUGGGUAAUUUUUAUGCAACUUCAUGAGAAUGUAUGAAAACAAUGUUUUUGAGCACCCUUUGAGGAGCUUUGAAAAUUUCAUAAAACUAGGCUCUAGUUAUAGUAUUUUUUGAAGCUAGAGCUAAUGGGGCUGGAUCUGUUUGAAUAGAAGAAAAUGAAAUAGACUUAAAAUUUUUGAAGUGAAGCUUUCUUAAACUAGGCCUAAGACUAGCUCCAACAGACCCUCUAAAGAGUUCUUUACUUUAAAUUGUAGAGAAGAUUUCGUCCUCUACUCCCUCUAGUAACGUUCUCUAAAUGGUCCUUUAAAUUUAGAGAAAGCUGCUGGAUCCUCUAUAUAUAGAGUUUCUCUCUCCUCCGCUCUAUCCAUUUGAAUACUUUAAACAACCGGUUUAACAAAACUAAUAUAUAAUAUAUUUGAGAGUAUGAUAAUUACGUAUAUAUAAAAAAAUUAAAAUAAAAAAUGUCUCUAAUAUAGGUAUUUACGUAUAGAGGACGUGAUUUAGAGGACGUUGUUAGAGAUAAAGAAGAUAUACAGGCUGAAAUCUUUUAGAAGAGACGGUAAAUAAUAGAUAUAGAGUAUGCUGUUGGAGACGGUCUAAGUGUUUCGUGUCAUACGAGUAGGUUUUAUGUUUUUAACAUUCGUUUCCUGGAAAUGACAAAAACUUCAAUUUAGUAGGAUCAGUAUGCAAGGAUGUUCAAAAUCUUUAGGUAGCCCAUGAGUGUAUACAUAAUCUAAAAUUAAUGGCCUUGUUUGUUUCAGUUCUUUAGCUUUUGGUCACCAUAAGGUGUUGUAGACUGACAAAUGAUUAGUUUUUAAAAUAGUUUUUAUAAGAAUCAUUUUAGUAAAAAAUCGAAAAAAUCAACAUAAACACAUAAUCAGUUGAAUCGCUGAAUUAGUAGUAAGCCAUCACUUUCUAUAUCCUAAACGUCAUGGAUAUUUUUAUCUUCCUCUAUACAUAAUAUCCAUGAUAUUCAAAUUCUCUCCCUAGCUAAAUUCUCCCAUAGCCAGAUUAUUAAAAAUGCUUAUAAAAAAGGUUGAACCAAACAGCACAAUGUGGCCCUCAAUUUCACAUAAAAAUGAAUUUUAUACUAAUAUAUCAAAGAAAAAAGUCACCAAAACAACUCAGAUUCCGAAGGAGGGUAAAUAAAUGCGAACUUUCUCCGAAUAACCCCCUUGCCCUUGGAAACUAGUCAAGUUCAGUGCCCCCAUACUUCCGUCGCGGCGGAGAUCGAGUCGAGCGCCCGCCACGGCGAUGGCGGCUAGAGUCCUGCCGCCGCCGCCGCUCCCUCUCGUACUCCUCUUGCUGCUGCUCCCGCUCUCAGCCCGGGACACCGUCGCCGCGGGCGAGGAUUUCCCACGCGACGGGCGGGUGAUCGACCUCGACGAGAGCAACUUCGAGGCGGCGCUGGGCGUCAUCGACUUCCUCUUCGUCGAUUUCUACGCGCCAUGGUGCGGCCACUGCAAGCGCCUUGCGCCCGAGGUACGACGAACUCCUGCCGACCUGUCGCUUGCUGGUGGUUGUUAGUAGACCUAUGAGAUGUGAUUGCGCGUUGGGAUACCGACCGUGGGCCGUUGCCGUGGAUCGGGGUGGAUCUUGGCUUCUGUGUUAGUGCUGUGGGAACGGGUUAAUUGGGUCUCUGGAGUUCAGAUUCUGUGUUAGUGAAGUGGGAGAGUACAGAACUUAGGCCAGUCCGGUCUGAGUGGAGAGUUUGGCGGCGUUGUUUCCAAUAUUGCCAUGUCACUUGGCACCACAAGAAUAUCUAAAAGUCUAAAGAUUAUGGAGAUUCAACAAAGAUUCCGAGAAUUGGAAUUACAGCAAACCAGGUAUUAGAUCUUAUCAUUUGUGGUCCUUAGAACGUUCAAGUGGGUUGCAGCCAAUGUGUCCAAACUUCCGGCUGAAUUGUUGCUUUCUAGUGGCCGACCAUCCUUUCCAGACCUUCUCUAGAGCUCUUCAAUCCUUCCUCCUAAGAUAAGAUAAGAUAAGAUCCAGGCUAACUUUUUCAAGCAAUGGAAUGACUGGUAGGCGAUCUCAGGCUCGCUCGUCGUUGGGUAGUUUCCGGUAGUUCGUUCACCAUUGAAAUGAAACAUGGAUGAAACACACACACACACUCAAUGAGAAGUUUCAUUCUAUAGUUUUAUAGACAUUUAAUUUUAAUGACUCAUAAAUAGUUCGUAAUUGUGCUAAGAGAGUUAUCUCUUAAACACGUUGUCAUAUCAUCAACUACGCUUAUGUGGCGACUUGUUAAAUGGAAAUAGAACUCCCACGGAGAGUAGCCUUACUGUUUUCCAGAAAAUUUAUUCGUUUUUUGAACAAAAAAUGUUUUUAUUGAGUCAUUAAACAAACAUGGAGCAGUGUGUGACACCACCGGACUCUGGGAUUCCUUGUUUUUUUGGGUGGGUAGUCCCAACUCCCGAAAACUCGAGCAGAUUAGAGCGAAGUGGGAGAGCACACAACUUGCUAUUUUUUCAGAAUAUUUAACGAAAAAUGUUGUUAUUGAGUCAUUAAACAAACAGAGUGGUAGUGCGUGACACCACCUGAAUUUCGGUACAUUAGCCUGUGGAAAAAGACAAGUGCUAUUAGGUGUGACACACCUGAAUUAGUACGUUCUCAAAUACUACUUUUUGCUUACUUACAAUUGCAUAAAAGCCAGAAAUUCCAGGGAAUUGGAUUAAGAAAACGAAGUUAUGAUAUUACUCCUUUUUUUUGUUGGUGCAGUUAGAUGAAGCUGCACCAAUGUUGGCAGGGUUGAGUGAGCCCAUUGUUGUUGCCAAAGUUAAUGCUGAUAAAUACAGGAAACUUGGAUCAAAAUAUGGAGUUGAGUAAGUUCUUGCCUGAAAGUAUUUUGGUUUCGCUGGAGAGUAGAUAUUCUUAGAUUGGAUGCCUAAUGCUUAUUAGUUCCUAAAUGCAGUGGGUUCCCUACCCUCAUGCUUUUUAUCCACGGUGUUCCAAUUGAAUACACUGGUUCGAGGAAGGCUGAUCAGCUUGUCCGCAAUCUGAAGAAGUUUGUUGCGCCAGAUGUUUCUAUCCUUGAGUCAGACUCUGCGAUAAAGAACUUUGUUGAGAAUGCUGGUACAAGCUUUCCUAUGUUCCUUGGUUUUGGGGUGAAUGACUCAUUGAUUGCUGAAUAUGGAAGGAAAUACAAGAAAAGAGCAUGGUUUGCUGUUGCUAAAGAUUUCUCUGAGGACGUCAUGGUAGCCUAUGAAUUUGACAAGGUUCCGGCGCUAGUUGCAAUCCAUCCAAAGUAUAAGGAACAAAGCUUGUUCUAUGGCCCAUUUGAAGGUAAUUGUUAUCCCUUUCUUGUGUUCGUUCAUGGCUUUUUUUUUCUAUGUCGAUUCUUAGUUUGAGAAGUAAUUUCAGGCACCAUGUAUUGUCUUAUGGUCGUUUAAUAUACCAUACAUAGCCAUGUUGAUUUCCCCAUAACGCCAUAGCUGAUGGUGUUGUUUUUUGGAUAUAGAAAAUUUCUUGGAAGAUUUUGUACGACAAUCCCUUCUCCCUUUGGUUGUCCCAAUCAAUACAGAGACGAUAAAAAUGUUGAAUGAUGAUCAGAGGAAAGUUGUUCUCACAAUUUUGGAGGAUGAUUCAGAUGAAAAUUCUACACAGCUGGUAAAGAUUUUGAGAUCUGCUGCUAGCGCAAACCGUGAUUUGGUGUUUGGAUAUGUUGGAAUCAAGCAAUGGGAUGAGUUUGUGGAGACUUUUGAUGUUUCCAAAAGCUCACAGCUGCCAAAGCUACUUGUGUGGGAUAGAAAUGAGGAGUAUGAGCUCGUAAGUACAGUAUCCUCAGUAAUUAAUUCUAUUUUCUAAUACCACCAUCCAUAUAAAGUGUUACUGGCAUGUUUCUGACUAAUGAUGCAAAAGUUUUUCUAUCAAUAAAGGUAUUGCUUUUAUAGGUUCCUGUUUGUUGACCCUCAUAAUUCCCUGAGAAAGUUAAUACUUGAUUAAGAAAGAAACUGCUACCAUCUCUCCGAUAAUCAUCAAAUAAGAAUUUGUUAUUUUCUGGGAUUGAAUUAAAAUGGUUCUUGGUGAAGGUGGAUGGUUCAGAGAGAUUAGAAGAAGGUACUGACCAAGCAUCUCAAAUAAGCCAAUUUCUUGAGGGAUACAGAGCAGGAAGAACAACAAAGAAGAAAAUUAGCGGCCCUUCUUUCAUGGGUUUCCUGAAUUCUCUGGUCAGCUUGACCUCGCUGUACAUCCUUAUAUUCGUCAUUGCCCUUCUGUUUGUCAUGGUGUACUUUGCUGGGCAAGAUGAUACUCCACAGCCAAGACGAAUUCAUGAAGAGUGAUGGAAGCUUGGGGAGCUUCUUGCACCUGAAGUGUAAAGAUGGCUAAUGUACCAGGAGAUGUAGCUCAGAGGUUAUAGAUUUCAAACUUUCAACGGACGCAAGUCUUGAAGAGUGGAUUUGGCUAUUGAUGCUGAGAUUCUUCAAUUUCUAUUGGCCACACCAACUUCUACAUCCUGCCUAUUUAUGUUUCUGUUUUGUGCCCUUCAAUUUGUUCUUUAAUUUAGAGCUUAGAAAUUAGCCUCUGCCUGUGUAUUUUAGAAAUUGUCCAUUCCAGAGUCCAUUUCUGUGAAAAUAUAUUUAUUAUCAUACUCUGCUACUGAACGUUUGUACAAUUAAUACAUGAUGUAUAGACUGUUCUGGUGCUAUGGUACUCGCUAGUUGUGAAGUUGUCACCAAAAAGUAAAACAAAACAAAUCAUUAGUUGUUAGAUAGCUAAUAAGUUAUUAGCUAGGUUGAACUAGCUAACAACUAAUAACUAUUUGAGAGAUAUAACUAAUCAUUAGUUGGUCUAUUAGUUGAUGUGUUAUAAACCUCUCGGCUAAUUUUAGACGCUAAAUAUUAGUUUUAUAGGUUUAGAAACAAACACCUUAAUAGGUUUGUUUUGUCGUUAUUUCUCGUCUACAUAAUUAUUUUUAUAAUUAAACUAUAUUUAAUAUUUAUAAUAAGCACCAAACAUUAAUAUAACAGUGAUUAGAUUUUAGUUGGUGAAUCUAAAGACACCCUAAAAAUAUUGUCCGACCCGUUUUCAGCCUACACCGCGCCCUGCUUAUCCAGAAACAGACACCGCCCUUCCUAUGCGAGCGGUCCACGCCGCCGAACCCUAGAUCCAACGAACCAUACGGCUCAAGACCUCCUCCCCUCGCGUUCACCAAACACCGCCGCACACUUCUAAAAAAGUUCCGCAGGAAACGCGGCCCGCAGCACGCCCUUUCCCCACCUCGAUCUCGCGCUAGGUUUUCGCCACACCGCUCUCGUCCUCCGCGAAGAUGCCGAAGAACAAGGGUAAGGGAGGCAAGAACCGGAAGCGUGGAAAGAACGAGGCUGACGACGACAAGCGCGAGCUCGUCUUCAAGGAAGACGGGCAGGAGUAUGCGCAGGUGACCCGGAUGCUCGGCAACGGGCGGUGCGAGGCCACCUGCGUGGACGGCACGCGUCGCCUCUGCCAUAUCCGGGGCAAGAUGCACAAGAAGGUGUGGAUCGCGGCCGGGGACAUCGUCCUCGUCGGCCUCCGCGACUACCAGGACGACAAGGCCGACGUCAUCCUCAAGUACAUGAACGACGAGGCGCGCCUGCUCAAGGCCUACGGGGAGCUUCCCGAGACGCUCAGGCUCAACGAGGGCGUCGACGUCGAUGGGCCCGAGGAGGGCGAGGAGAACGGCGACUACAACUACAUCCAGUUCGAGGACGAGGACAUCGACAAGAUCUAAGAAUUCUGUCUCUCCUUCCUUCCGGCACAUUUUAUUAUUAUUAUGGGAUUCCUUUUCGCCUUCCGGCUAAUUUAAUAUUAUGUGACUUGCGUUUUAGUACGCGGUGGUGGACUGGUGGUAUGGUUUAGGCGGGCUGUUAUGAAUUCGCUCGCAAUCCUGAUAGGAUCUGAGGUGGUUAAAUAAUCGCGGAACGCUGAUAAUCUCGUUUUAAAUCUGGCGCAUGCUGUUGCAAGAUGUUCUAUACUAGUUGUUAUUCUGG